rnacentral:lncRNA from 1 species
UGUGCUCCGGUCUAAAAAUCUUCGUUCAACUAUGGUGCACAGAAAAGAAAGGACCAGUUUUUGUGGCCAUGUUUGAUCCCGUUUCAAUAGUAUUUGUGGCUCUUCUAGCUUACUUUGUCCUCGGUGAAAGACUUUAUACGGGCAGCUAAUUUUUCACACUAUAAUGCAUUUACAAGUAAUUGCACGUAUCUAGAGUUUAACUAAUGCAUUUACGAGUAAUUGCACAUAUCUAGAGUUUAACUAAGACAUCAACCCAAUAAAGACUCUGUAUGCAAAACAAAAACUUUGUAAAAUGCAUCCAAUUGGGUUAAGGGAUUACAUUUUCAAUCCACGUUGUGUGACAAGUAGGAUCCAUAUGUUACAUUAAUUUUCCUUGCCAAUUAGUCACAUAAUUUGGUGUGGAAGGAGGUAAUUCUAAAACUUCAUGUGUGGUUUGUUCAGCAUAGUAGGGGCAUUUAGUGUCAUCCUUGGCCUAUACUUGCUAUUGUGGGGAAAAGAAAGUGAUGAAGUUUACAUCAACUCAGAAGAGCACAAGGAUAAAAACAUACAGAAAAUCACUUCAGCUAAGACCGAUGUGCUACAUGAUGAACCAUAAAGAUUAGAUUGGAUCCUUCCCUGGAAUCCUUUGAGAGGGAAUUCACAAAUCGAAAUUCAGAAGCAAUCAAACCUAAAAGAAGAAGAUGAAGGCAGCAAGAAAAGUUGAGUGAGCAAAUAUGGGAGCAGGAGAAAGAUUCCAGAUUCCAAGGCAGCAGAGACUGUACGCUACUAAUUUCUGCUACAAAUUCCAAAUUGAUUAAAGAUUCCAAAUUCACCUUUCCACAAAAUUCCAUCUAUUGUUUUGCUUGUUAUAUUUAUUUGUUUGGAUCUUAUUUAUUCAAGCAAUCCUCAAAUUUCAUCAACUUCAAUAUAUGCACAAUGCAGUUAGAAACAUCAGAAAGUUAAAAACCAACACUGGACCAUCUUACAGAAAAAUAUGGUGAACACUGGACAUUACUAAUUGUUUUAAUCCCAAAAUGCCUUCUAGCUACAUUUAACAAUUCUGACACAGACUUGCCACCAGCCAACCUAAAUCAGGCAAUUGAAACAGUGCUGACAAAUAGAUUGCCAACAAGCAAUAAGAUUGUCAGUAAAUGUAAAUGAAGGCAUCUAAAUUAUCCAAAUACUUGAUGAAACAUCUAAGCAGCAGGGGGCCGAAGUUCAUGAUCACGAGAUGUAUCACGGACCGAUGGAGGUAAAUAAUGCCACAUUGGAACCAGACUAUAGCUAGGAUACAUUGCCAUCUUGCUUGCCCCGGGAUGAUAUGCAGCUGGGACUGCUGGGUGGGUUGGAACAAACCCAGAAGGUGAAAUUGCCAUACCUUUCAACUGCUGCUCCAACCUUUCUUUAUCUGCUUUCAGUACAAGUUUCUCUUCACGGAGUUCAUUCUUCUCUGCCUGUCAUAGGCAAGAGCAGUCAACAAAGUGAGUACUCAAAACUUCUCAAGUAGUAAAACUGAAAUAUAGGGAGAGUUUGAACCAUCUAACAACCACCCUGAUUCUAAAUUCCAAAUUGUACCUCAAGAGUUCAAAAUAACCUUAUGUUUCAUUUGAAAUUGAGGAAUUUUAGUCUAAAUUGAUCAAACCCUACCAAUACAUAAAUAUUUGAAUCUGACAAAAGUUUCUCUUUCACUAAAACGUAUUUUGUACACGGAUUUUAAAUGAUGCAUUGUACCUAGUUAUUUCAAAUUCAAAAUAUUGCAUUAGUCAUUUUGAACAUGUUGUACUUUUUUUUUUUUUAAUGAAUACUCCAACAAAUGUAGAGUUAAUCUUGAAAUUUCAAUCUUGUGUCUUAAUUUAUAUCUGGUCAUUUUGAACAUGUUGUAAUUUCUUUUUAGGAAUACUCCAACAAAUGUAGACUUAAUCUUGAAAUUUCAAUCUUGUGUCUUAAUCCGUGCAUCCGAAUGCACCUUUAAGUAAUUCAUGCCUCUGAUUAAAAACAAAAGAUUGAAAACCAGUCCAUCAUCGCAAUGCAAUGGGAGAGAAGUCAAGGUCAAAGAAAGAACCUGACCUAAUGUUAUGAUGGAUGAAUAAAAGCUUACAAGAAAGUUAUAUAGGGAUUCUACACACUUGAAAGGGGUAUCUUGAAUAGUUACGACUGUAAAUUAUGAUAAUAAAGGAUAAGUUUUGGGUGGAACGAAUCUUUUAUAGAAUCAACUUAUACAUGGUACAAAUCAGGUCAUUGUUGAAAUGAUUUAUUGUAUAAUCUCCAGCCGAGAGGAGCUUGUCCAAGGUAUCAAGUGAAGCAAAAGGGAUGUUUGGAAUUUUACCCGAGUUUACCACAAACCACAUGGAAACAAAUAAUACUUUAAAAUCAAUCAUAAAAUCCUAUCAUAACUUUAAGAUCAUCUGAAGCAAUUUUCUGUUCAUUUUCAAUCAACUCAAAUAAGUUUGAAAUACUAGAUAGCAGAGAUGGCUCAAAAGGAUUAGCUGAAUGAAAAGAAUAUUGCUUUCAAACUCAGUGUUAUUUGUCUUCUCCAACACUAUAAUUGAAUGAAUGAAGAUGAUCUAAAGCCUAUCAUGGCUACUUUCAUUCUGGAGGCUCAUACCUUCAUCUAAAAUCUAUAUAUGAACAUGAUCAUAACUUUUAUUGACAUGCUCUCAACCCAGCCAGGGAGGCAAAGAUUGAAAAUACCAAGAUAUGUUUUUGACAAACUCUGUGCCAGCUACCAAAUGGUCCAAAUCUCAUAAUAUAACUUUUAUUUAAAAGAAAACAAAAAUACUUUAAGUAAAUGAGCUAGGAAAUGAUGAACCUUUAAACUUUUUACUUCUUCAAGUAACUUUUGAUUUGUUUCUUUGAGCUCCUGAGCUUCAGCUCUCAGCUGGGUCAAAACCCUUAUGGCAUCAUCAAGAAUAGCAGGCUUGUCAGAUUUGGGCGGUCUCCCAGGUUCUAAAACAGCGCUCAACUCCACAAACCUGCAAGAAGAAUCAAAACCAACAUGUUUCCAAUCAAAAAUAAAUAAAUAAAAAUAAUAAAAUCUACUCAUCUGAUCAAUACAAAUUAACCCAAUUCAACAAAAAACAAAAAACAAAAGACAAAAAGAAAAGACAGAAAAAUGAGAUUGGAUGCAUGCCUGUCAUUCAAUCUCUCCCUCCUCAACUUCUCACGGCAAGCCUUCGCUCCAGACCCAGGGCAAGAAGAAUCGGUUCGUCCCCUGUUUCAUGAUCAAACCCAACAACCAAAACCCCAUAAAAAUGUUAAAAAGCUUGGCACUUUCAGAACACAGAAAGCAAUUACAUUACUGCAGAUUCACGGGAAAAUGAAAAAACAAGAAAGUACCUUUUGCGAGGGCACUCUUUUUCCGGUGAGAAAGCAGCAGGAACAUCAACAGCAGAGAAUUCGAAUUCCCUAAAUGAAGGAGUGUCAUUAGGCCAAAGGAAAUCGCUGGGCUGGGUCGUCUCGUCGAUGUAAUCAAGAUACUCUAUCCAUUCCUCCAUCAGAGAAUACAUGAGAGACUGAGUCCUAUUCUAUUAAUAUGAUUCCAAAGACUUUUGAUGCACAAUUUAAUUAAUUAAUUAUUUUUAAUAUAAAAUAAAUGCGCACAAAACAAAUUGAGCAUGUAGUUUAUUACUUUAGUUUUUUUUUUUUUUCCUGAAUUAUAAAACCCGAAUUUGGAAAAAAAAAAAAAAAAAAUUAGUGUAUGUGACGGAGAGAUUAGGUGGCCUGCUCACUGGUGUUAUCAAUUCACAUACAUUUUAAGGACCUAGAAUUUUACUAUUUAAGAUUUACAAUUUGGAUAAUAGGACCAUAUGCAUGUAAUUUUUAUGGAUAAAUUGGUAUAUUUGGUGAUGUUUCCUUAGCACCGAAAAUUUGACAUGGGCUUCCAAAUCCUUUCCAACUACUUGUAUUUUGCAUCAAUAAAACUCUUGUUAAUUAUAUACACUCCAACAAAUAUUCUUUUUGUUUUCACGAGAGGUUAUUGAGGUAGGAUCACAAUAGGUGACUAAUGGAAGUGCUAGUAAUCGGAUGCCUAAUUUUAUUCGAAUCAGAUCUCAAAUUGCCUAAUUUUGUUCGAUUUAGGUCUCAAACUGCUCAAUUUUAUUCGAUUUAAGUCUCAAAUUGCAACCAAAUCAAUGCUAACAGCAAGAUUCAGUUUAGUUUGGUGAGGUUUAUAUAGUGUGGUCAUAGAACAACCUUACAUGAAUGAUGAACAUGGUAAUCUUUCUAAAUAAUUAUGUAUAUCAAGACUUGGAACAAUGCAUGUUUAAUCCCAAUACAGUGAAUAAUUAAGAUGAAUCUAAUAGGAACUUUAAAUAAGGCUGCUAUUAAUGAAGAUGAAUGAACCAUGUAAUAAAUGAUCUAUGAACUCUCUUAAUUUUUAGACCAAAAUCCCGCCUCAACUCCUUUCAUAAAUAAUUAACUAAAUAAUAUUAUAUAAUAUUAAAGCGAAGCUGAUACUAUAAAUUGAACAAAGACUCUUAGCAUAAGAGAAGUUUUGAGAGAUAAAUAUGUGGUUUGAUUGGGGUUGGAGAAUUUCAAAUAAUCCAAAUUGAACCCAUUAAAAUUAAGUAUUGCUUGUUUCAAAUCGGUCCUGUAAAGAUUGGUUUAGUUUAACUGGUUUCAACGGUUUGGGUGGCGUUUUACUUACCUACCCCUAGACGGAAGAAAUCAAUCAGGUUUAAUAAUUGGUCUUUGUGGGCCUCAUAAAAGAAACCAUUUUCUAAUACAUUAUAAUAUAGUGCGGAUACAUAUGUCAGUUUUUGAUUUAAAGGAAAAAAAUCAUGUCACAGUCACUCCAAAGUCUAGACCAGCAGCUAAUAGAAAAUAAACCAUUUUAUUGUCAAUGAUCAAAUGAUGAUUUGCGCAACCUUAAUAAAUCAAAAUCACUGCCGAGUUCGAAAGACUAACACGGACGAAAAAAUAAUAGAGAAAUACAAGCUACUUUCCCUCUUGCCAUGUCUAUCAUGAAAAAAUAUUAGCUACCUUCCCUCUUGGCAUGGCCAUCAUAUUCGUCAAGCUAUCAAUUUAAACUACACACCACCCAUGAAUCAAACAAGAAGAUAAAUUAUAAGAACGUUAAAAAAGCAUAACAUGCCAAAAGAGCAUUUAAACUUUGUUCUAUGUCUCUCCAUUCUUCUGUUUUCAUGUCAUAAUGGAUCAAGAAUAAACAUCUCCAAGAAUAAUUGGUACUGACUCAAUUUAGGAGGCAUCAUAUACAACAUCAAGUUUUGAUUUGCCAAACAGAGCCUGGGCAGGUAUCAGGAGGAGCCACCAAAUUUGCAUGGAUUCAUAACUUGUAGACAGCAACACAAGCAUCACUACAAAUCUUGAAUUUCUUUAACACCAAAGAGCAUCUUUGCCCUCCUGAACUUCUUAUAAUUAUAAGUCCAUAAUUAACCACUCAUAGAAUAUGCUCUGCAAAGAUGCAUAGGUGCUCAAGUGCGGUCAUUUUCAGUAGGCCAUAGAAUGAUUAAGAUCAUAUUAAGCUUUGGAUUAAAUUUAAAAAAACACAUAUUAUUAAACUGGAAGAUCACUUUCAGAGUUGAAAUUUAUCUAUCUUGUUCCCAUACAAUGGCAGUUACCAUUCCUUAGAAGCAACAGCUUGAUCAGCACACAGCUUUGAAGCAAAACAGUGAAGAAAAAUUAAAUCACAUGGGCUUCGUUCUUAAGCUUGUCAAUCAACUCGUCCACAGAAGAAAGGAUGACCCCUGCUUUUCUUUUGGGAGGUUCGGUGACUUGAACCUCCUCUAUAUCGGAUUUGAUUUCCACAUUCAGAUCCUCUGGAGUAAAUUUCUUUAUGGCCUUUGAUUUCGCUUUCAUUAUGUUGGGGAGAGUUGCAUACCUUGGUUGGUUCAGCCUCAAAUCAGUGCUGCAAGAGGGCCAAGGAAACAAGUAUUAAUUUAGAAUUUUCACCAAAGAUCAGGUUUAGACAAUAUUCCUCCUCCUUCCCUGGCAUUCAUGUGUGUAUGUGAUGAUCUUUUGGCUGGUUUUCAGUCCGUCACCUAAAUUGAUAUUUCAAAUUUUCUAAUAUAAAAUAUCUAAAGUUGAACCCUUCAAACUAUUGUGACAUCACCAAGUAACAAGUUUUCUUAAAAUAUUAUCAAAAUUAUGUCAUUAUCACACUUCUUUCACAUUUGUCAAUUUAAAGAUAGGCCAUUUUAGACUUUUAGUAUCAUUUUACGUGGCAAGACCAUUUGUCCAUAUUUUAUUUUAAUAAGUGAUUGAUCACUUUUUUUCUUUUAAGGAGAGGGGGGGUGGUGGGGUGCUUAUCUUUCUGAAUCAUAUUCUCAUUUUACGCAUGCUGUCCGUGUUAAGAAAAUAAAUUGUUUUUGGAAACUAAUUUGAUACUGAUACAUAGACAAAAUAGUAAAGAAGUAAUAAUUAUAUAAGUUCAGCAAUUCUAGGAUUACCCUACCUAUCUUAAUUGAACACUUGAGCUUUAUUGUCUCAGCCUUACUUCUUACACUUCUCUGUUUUUGAUGGCCUAGCCAAUUGGUUUGAAGCUAAUCCAAGGUGUAGUAAUCCUAGUCAGCUUGGUCUGGCUUGGAAUUUAAUCUUUACAGUCACUUGGUGGUUUCUGUGGGUGUGUUGUUAUGUGUUCGAUUCUGAUUUUCAAAUUCCUAGAGAACCAAGUAAUUGAAUCCUUCGACUGGCUCAAGGUUAAACGGGUCCUUAGUUGCAGACCUCUUCGUGCCCAAGCUUUAUUGGUUUGGUAACCCCCUUCGUCAAGGUUACUUGAAGCUGAAUGUGGAUGGUUCUAGAUAAGGGCCUGACGAUUAUCUAGAUGCUGGGGGCUAAUCCGAGACUGGAAGGUUUAAGGGCGAACAUCAGCUCAGGUGAUAUCAUUCCAGCUGAACUUUGGGCUUUGCACCAUGGUCUUAAGAUGGCUUGGGAUAAAAAAAAUUUCAAUCUGUUGGUUGAAGUUGAUUCAGCAAUUAUUCUUCGUCUGAUUUUAGGAUCUGUCAGCACCACCCAUCCCUUCAUUGGUCUCGCCAUUGAGUGUAUAUGUUUAAGCAGAGGUGGUUUCUAUUGCUUCAUGUCUGUCCCAUGAUCAUCAGGAACUCAAUUUUGGCAGCCGAUAGUUGAAUUUCACCAGCAGUGUUGGGAAAUAAAUUUUUGCUUAGUGUGGGUUGUCUAGUGUUUUGGGUUUAGGCCCUCCAUACAGGAGUAUAUAUGUUAUAACUAAACCAAGUAAAUGGGCCAGCUUUUUUAUUUCUGAAUCAUUCAUAUUUUUCAAUUUUAUGAUAUUUCUCCGUCCAAUUAAUCCAGUGUGUGUGUACAAAUAAGCAUGGUGCAACAUUUUUAUCGUUGAAGUGCUUUGAAAUUUGGGUGAGGAUGGAGAUAGAUGCAUCCAAGUGUCCAAAAACAAAUACACGAGAAGAUCUGAUACUUACGUGAUCACUGCUGGCAUAUCUAGACACAAAGUCUCAAGACCACCAUCUACCUCUCUGUCCACUGUCACUAUUUGCUUCUCCUUAUCCAGCACAACCUACUGGAAAUAUUUAGUCAUAUGAAGAAAUUCAUAAAAAGUUUUGUCUGAAAAUCAAAAUAGAACAAAAUGCACUAUCAACGCAUGUCAUUCUCUGUGAAAUUCUGUUCAAUGUUAACUCAGAGAGACAGCUAAAAACAUGCAAAGAAGUAACAGUAGAGAAAAACAUAUUACUUCUACGAAUCAUCUACAUUGCUAUAUAUGUAUAGAUUUUAAAAUGGACAUGUGUUCUCAUGAAUACAAAAAUGAAAGGACAACGUAUUUGUUUCAGCUGAGAGGAUAAUGUCUUUGUGAUGGAGUAAAGAGAAGGCAAAUAAGAUUCUUUUUUUAAGAAAAUAAGUGAAAUUUAGGAAUAACAGGGAUUUAAGGAUGAGAAAUAGAAGUAAGUUUUAGUAGAAACAGAACCACAUCUCUCCAAAUAAACCAGGUACUUCAAAUAUCAGAGGUCCCUGACCCAUUAUGUUGUCUGAUGUUACUGAAUUUAAACGAAGACUGGCCAUAAACAAAAGAACUUAAGGUAAGCACAUUGACCAAGAGAGCAACUAGAUAAUCAGAUUGUCAAAACUCAAGAUAACUAACAUGUGACAAGAUCGGUAUAAUGCUUCUAAGGCUCUAACUAUACUCUCAACCACCUCAACUAAUGUUCUUUACACCCUUGUUUCACUUUAGAGCCUUUCAUCUGCAAUUCUUCCUUGUGGCACGCCUAAUUUCAGAAUUCACUUUCAUCAGGGCAAACAAACUCUUGAAAAGCAGUAUUCAAUUUUCCACUAGUUAUUGCCUAUGCUAUAAGGGCCCUCAGAAGCCAUAAGGUAUCCAGGUCAAUAGGGAUAUCUGCAGAAUAGAUGUAUCUCGAAGGCAUAGGGAGAGGAACACCUCCCAAACCUUAACUUCCUGAUUUUAAUUUCUUCAGAAGUCUCCCUGCUGCAGGAAUAUUAUACUAUGGAAUGAAACUACAAAACGGGGUAGUGCUUCUAGCCAGCCAGCUAAGCUUUAUAUUUAUUGACUAUAAUACCAAAACAAAGUCAUUUGUGCCUCCUGGCCACUACAAUUAAAAGGAAUGUAAACAAAAUCCUUUGCUCAGCCCUUAAAAACAAACGAGAAACUAGAAACUGAUAAUCAGCUGCAUCAACAAACUAAUAUUAACUACUAAGCUUUGAGGCUAGAUGGUUCGAAUUCUUAAAUUACCAAUUAAAAGUCCCAAAAACGACAUCUGGAUUCAAACAUAGUCUCAUAUUCGCCUACAUUUAAAACUUCAACUUAUAAUGCAUGAACAUAUUAAUGAUCACGUUCCUCAAUUACUUAAUGGUGUGAAACAAAAUACCACAAGGAAGCAAGCAAUGUAAGUAUGCGAGUUGUAAGCAGCAUAUUUCUUCUCUACUUGAAUGAAUUAGGGCCUUUCUCUUUUUUAAUGAGUGAACAGAGAAAUAAAUAACUAACCUUUGAAGCAAAGGUCCCUUGAGGCCAGUUCAGCAGCCCUGCCACCAUUUGCCCCGUUUGAUUGCAAUCAUCGUCAAUAGCCUACACAUUUACUCAAUAUAUGUCUAAAGGAUAAUACUUUCACUUCUUUAAACCAAAACCAACAAGGCAAACACACAAAACCAAAAUCUUUAAAACUAAAAGAAAAUAGAUUUAAGAAAAACCUGCUUGCCAAGAAUGAGAAGGCCAGGCUUCUCAACCUCCACGAGGGCUCUCAAAAGCUUAGCAACAGACAAAGGGUACAGAGGACCACUAGUCUCCACAUGAAUGCCCCUAUCAGCUCCCAUAGCAAGGCCUGUCCUGAGCGUAUCGACGCACUGCUUUAGACCCAUGGUGACGGCCACGACCUCCGAGGCCAUGCCCGCCUCUUUGAUCCGAAGGGCCUCCUCCAAAGCAAUCUCGCAGAAUGGGUUCAUUGACAUCUUCACGUUCUGGGUCUCCACGCCGCUCUGUGAAACAAAACGAAAUGAAACUGUUCGAUUAGAAAGACAUGAUUUUGAAAUGAAUUACGAACUGGGUUUGUGUUGGAUUGGCCUUGCCUUAUCGGAUUUGACUCGGAUUUUGACGGCGUAGUCGACGACCCGCUUUAUCGCCACCAUUAUCUUCAUGGUUUCUUUCUUCUGCUCGGUCUGCUUGCCAAGAAUGGUGAUUGGAAUUGGAUAAUCCGGUGUGAGAAGAAGAGUGAGGAGAGAGAGUUGGAAACGGCAUUGGCAUUGCUGAGCUAGCAGCUACUACUAGUAGAUAAAUGGUGCCCGCAACUUUCCUAGUAUAAUAAGCUCGCAUUUUAUAUGUGACCAAAUAAAUAAAUGAAAAGCUCUCAUUUUGUAUUUUCUUUUGUUUUCUUCUUCACUAUUUGAAUCCGAAGACAAAUGGAAAAUCCACACGUAUUAAUUUUUUCUUUCGUCGAAAAAUUCACAUGCAUUAUAACAGCAAAAAAUCCCGACCAGGAAAAUAUAAUACAAGAAAAUAUGUACUAUCAUAAAUAUUACAUACUCAGCUAAUUGAGUGUAAAGAGGCCGACUUAUUGUCAUGAUCAACUGAUCUAACUUACAUAUACGCAUAAGUAAUUUAGUUAAAUGAACUUGAUGGUGUUUUAGGUGGUGCUCAUGUUGCCCUAUUUAAUAAUUAUGUUGUAACCCGAUAUCUGAGGUCUAGACCCGUUACUUUUUAUGGCUCAUUCAUGCGUGUGCCCAAGCCCAAGCCCAAGCCCAAGCCCAUUUACUUGUGCUGUCGGCCUCAUCCGUGUUGUGUCCAUGUUGUGUUUGAGCCUGUGUUGAUCACCUCUCUCUUUAUAAUCUCUAAUCACAGACAAAUCUAAUGAAGCCCCACACAUGUCUCAUAUUCCCAGGCAAUAGAUCCAAACCCAUACACACAGAACAUGGCUCUUAGGAAAGCGGCGUUGUUGGCGACCAUCAAUCUUUUUUUGGUAUAGAAAAGUUUAGAGGAGGGGAGGCUAUCCAUCUUAAGGUCAGGGCAUCUAAGGUUUUUUUUUUAGGAUUUUCAAAGGGGAUUUUAGCUCAUUUUUUGGUUUUUACAAAUUAUCCACUUAAAGGGAUUGUCGACAGUGGGACUCGAACUUAUGUCUGAAUAACGAAGAAAACUAUUCAUACCAACUCAACCAAUCCUGUGAGUUACCAUCAGUCUUUUCACGCACACAGUGCCUACUGUUUUAUGAUUCUAUUCUAUUCUAACUCUACAGAAACUAGUCUUUUUGUUUUUGCCAGCUGAUGGAAAAUCUAUAUACUCAGUGAGAAACCAACAGUGGAUUUCAGGGAUGUGAACCCAAAAUACAGCUUUAUGAAACUUUUGUUUGGAGCAUAUUCGAAGGCAGUGAGACAUCAAAACCUGUUCUUGACACCUUACCCAAUCCAACCUCUUGCAACAGUCUUGCACAUUAAUUAGAGAACUAUGCAGGAUUUUGAUAUGAGAUUUGACUUCUGUAGCAACUAUUGAUUGUCGAGAAAAUUAGAAUGCAGAGACUCAAAGGGGAAGAAUAAAAUAAUUCAUUCAGGAUGAACUGGUUUUCUUUUUUGAGUAAAUAAUUGUAGUAUUUGGCGCAGUCCAUCCACUGAAAACUGACUCUAGUAUUUAUUUAUAGAGUUUGUCCGUGACUCAAAUUGUAUGCCAGAAGACACAAAGCACAAGUAUAUAAACAUAGUUGUCAGAAUAGUAAUAGUAAGUAGCUAACUACUGUUCCUGCAUAUCAAAUUGGACCAAUCCCAAUAGCCCUCACUUGAAUGAACUCUGUGGCUUUCCUUUUUGCUAAAGGAAUUGACCCUUGCUUUGUAGAAAACUUCUCUAUCACCUGUAUACAAAGUGUUUAUUACCUGUUAAUCAUGUAACGAGAGAUAUCGACAUAUAAUUAUAUCCAUCACGACUUGCACUUAUUUUCUCAUUUAUUUAACUUUGUACCCAUUAUAAGUUGAGAUUGAACUUUGGCAAAGCAAAAGUGAUGAUAAGACAAUUAUAUACACUCUCACAAUUAGAGCUAUUACGUGCCACUAAUCUCGCCUCAUUGAAGAUUUUCUCGUCACAAAAGUGCAGUGUAUUGAUUUAGUGAAUAUUUUGACACAAACCUAAUUUCAAAAAAAUAAAUCACUAUCUCAUUUUCGUGUAUGAUUGGAGAUAUCAUUUGAUUUCUAGGUAAGUAGGUUAAUAUUCCAGACUGGAAAAUAGUUGGCAUCAUUGAGAGAAGAACCUCACCAAACCAUACAUAUGAACAAACCAUAUAUACUUCCCUUCUACCAGCAUUAGCAUUAUUGAUGAUCACACAUGAAGGCACUUAAUUAUAUGAUUGUUUCAAAUUGAAGAGGACCCAUAUCUGCCAACCUAAUCAAAUGGAAAGGGACCUUCCCCCUUUUACACGCUUUGUAAUCUUUGGAUUCUGCUAGUUGGUCUACACAAAGGGGCCUCCUCCAUGCUAAAUUCCUUUUUCUUUCCUUUAAAAAUAAUUUGAUUCUUGUGGUUGGUCUGUCUUUCUCUGAUCAGCAACAAUGAAAUUCACAAUUAUUCAAUUCAAUAUAGGUGGGUGGGAAAAAGGAUCAUUUGAAAAAAUAAUAAUAAUAUUGAAAAAAAAAAAGGAAUAAAAAGUGGUAAUUUCAGCAAUGAUGCCCAAUCCCACCACAUAAACCAAAAAGAAAUUCCAGUAGAGCUCUAUGGUUUCAAAUUUUAAUUGAAUAUGGUUAUAUGACAUUAACAAAUCCUUUAAUCUCUCAAUAAUACAUCUAAAAUCUCUAUCUCACAAAAAAACACUAAAAACUUGCAAAAUCCCAAGAAGAAAAAAAGAAGGCAGACUAGAAGGAAAAAAAAAAACUUGGCCUAUGUCUCCAAAUAAACAGGAAGAAUUGCACUCCUAGAUCCCCUACCAUUUCCAAAAGAAAAGAAAGAUCUUCUAACCCUACCACUACUACUACAACCUUCAAUGGGACUCAUCUCACUGACUUGCCUGUGCUGCUGCUGCUGCUGCUGCUGCUGCACAGCCUCUUGAACUGCCAAAUAGAGCUGCCUAUCAGCUGAAGAGUCCAUUGAGAAAGACCUCCUUAUGGGUUGGAUUGAGAACUGCUCAUCUUUGCCUCUAAUGUCAAUACAUUCAUCCCCCAUGCUUGUAACCUUGUUGUGAAACUUUCUUGCUAAUUUCUUGGGCACACUUCUGUUUUCCAAUUUCCUUGGUGAAGGGCUAAUAGAAAUCACUGACGCCUCCCCUGAAUUCAGUCUUUCUUGCCUCCCAAGCAUUGUUUGCUCCAUCGAAUUAUCGUUACUCAAUUCGAUCACCACGUAGUCUUCAUCACCGCCACUUAGGCUACCUGCAUAUGGACUUGGAUCUUGGGGUGAAGAGCUUGGAGCAACAAUUCGAUCGAAUGGAAACCGGGUUGUGGUCGAAAUGCUUGUUCUGCAAAGUGGGCAAUUGGCAUUGCUUUGAAGCCAAACAUCAAUGCAAUCAAUGUGAAAAAUGUGGCUGCAAUUUGGUAUGAUCCUCAGCUUCUCAUCUUCUUGGAACUCAUUCAAGCAAACUGCACACUCACAAAAGCUUCCCUCUUCAAAUCCUCUGUUCCUAUCUUUCUUGAAUUGCAACAAUGGGAUUGAUCUGAUCACAGCCUCAUCAAGCCCUCGAGUCUCUAACCCGGGAGAGUAGGCCAUUAGCUGCUCUUCAUCGCGCCUAUUUCGCGAUAAUGAGAAUCGUCUGAGAAGAUCAACACGGUGCCAAUUAAGGCAGCAUUUGAUCACAAAGAUGUAGUAGCUCACAAGCAAGAAAGCUGUGGCUAUAAUUCCUAUUAUGGCAAUGGCUAUAAUGGGGAAACUUGUGUCUGAAUGAUGAACAGGAGCCCCAAAGAUUGUCCUUCCUGGACUUGUUGUUGGAGGAAGAGCUUGUGACAAAUGGAUCAAGUAGCUUUUGCUUACAAGAUCCAUGAAAAUGGAGGCUCCUAUGACCAAUAAAAACUACUUGGGUUUUCUUAGAUCUUGAAACUUGUACAACAAAAAUAUGCAGACAGAGAGAAAAUACACAGAACCAUGAAACUCGCAAGAAGUGAGAUGAAUUAAUGCUUGAUUAGCAAAGAUCUAUACUAGAGAGAAAACCCAGUUUGGGGACUGAGUUGGAGAAGGUAGAUUUGGAAAGGUGGAUAUGAAAUCAAAUGGAAGAAUGAGCUAGAAGCAUUGAGAAGAGAGGAAAAAGAAGGAAAACCCAGGUGGGAAUUAAUGAAAGUGAUGUUGAGAAGACAUGAAUGGGGCUUGAAAUUCAAUGAAAAUGUGCUCUGCUCAACUUUUUCUUUUUAUGGUCUGAGUCUUUGGCUCAGAAUGCUUACGUAGUUGGUGAAUUUAGAAAAUUGCUUAAGUGUCAAGUGUCUCUCGAUAAUUGUACAUUUUGUUAUUAAAUUUUGUACAUUUUUUUAUUUAAUUAAUAUUACAGAAACGUAUGGCAGUAUGGUUAUUAUAUAUAUAUAUAUAUAUAUAUAUAUAUAUAUAAAGGAGGUUGUAUAGAAUGGACAGCUCCCCACCAUGACUCAUAUAGGGGUAUUGCAUGUUUCUUUUUUCUUUGAUAUAAGCGACAUUAAGUGGGGUGAGUCGAAAACUGAACUUUCAUGAUAUUUUAGUUGUUUGUGUGUGUAUGAGAAACUUUCUCUUCUAUAGUUUAAACUGUCGCUUACAAUAAAUAAAAAAUUGAGUUUGACGAUAAAAAAUUACUUAUUAAAUAAAAACCAAAGAGAAAAAGAAAGAAAAGAAGGGCAAAACCUUGACUUUCAACAUUGUCAUCCAUAAUCAAUCAUAAUCAAUCAUAAAACAAAAAGUCUCAUACCCACAUGCAACCCACCAUUGAAUUUGUUGACCAGAGGCCUAGGCCGUUUGAUUAAAGGGCAAUCAAGUAGAUUCCAUGCAUGUCUGAGUUUGCUUCCACACUGUAUAUGUUUCACCCCGCUAUACCAAUUUGAAAAAGCUUUCUCCAAAAGUAGUAUAGGCUAAAAAAGCUUUUUUUUUUUCUUUAAAUAAAGAUCUUUUAUCUUCUUCUUUACAUGGAGAAGUCAAAUCCAUGUACAGUAACAGUAGAGACCGACAAGAAAAAAAAAAAAAACAGAACCGACACCUUCCAUGCUUGCAGUGUUGACAAAACUGUAGCCUCUAGGCAAGAAAGAGGGAAGCAAGAGGCACUCUUUUUUCAAAAAGUGCUUCUUCAUAGUCAAAUGUUGAGGCAUCUGCCAAAGAAACUUAGCCCAACUGUUUUCCCCAAAAUUUCCAAACAAUGCCAACCUUUUGUUCACAUCAAGAUCACGAUCACCUAACGUUUUAAUUAGAAUGUAAAAGCCAAAAGCUACAAGCCUCUAUAUUUCAUAGUAACGGCCAAAUCUAUGUACAUUUUGUCAACCAAUCGUUCAAACAAGUUGAUGGGCCAAUGGUUCAUUGGUGAAUGUGUUGUAUUUCAUUGGCUGUUAUUUUUAGAAGAUUUUGCACAUAAUUUUGCAGCUUUUUUUUUUGAUGAAGUCCAAACAGCAUUUAUUGCAUUUGACGAAUUGAUUGGAAAUAUACCAACUUCCAACUUUCAAGCCCUAGAGAUGCAAAAGACCAGGGUGCACUCAACUCAUCAUGUACCUCGACAUCACAAAUCUGGAAGGGAGUGUUUUCGUAUUUUGUAGGAAAAUUAAAUGCUGGUUACCAAUGCAUCAAACUUGUAUUUGUGUAGGGGGACAUACAUAGAUUCCAAAUGAUUCUUUUCAACUCAUAAUAUCACACCGUAUUUAAUCAUUUCAAAAAUAUUGUAUUUAGUAUUUUCAUGAUUUUUCAAACAAAAAUGCAAUUAUAUUGUCAAUAAUAAUUUUAUUUAUUUCAGCGUUUAAGAUUAUUUGUUCUUAACAUUAUAAUGUACUUAUAGCUCACACGAAAUAUAUUAAUAGUAAAAGUUGAACAUAAGAAGAGCAGUAAAUUGAUUACAUGUUUUCAUCUACACAAUGAAAAGUGGGUGGUAAGUUUUCGUCGAUGUGGAAAACAAAAAUUCACUAUACGUAUACGUUUGUUUCUCAUAUCAUCCAAUUGUGAACCAGUAAUAUCACUUGUUAUUUCUUACGAUGAUGUUGUGCACUAUUCUAGUUUCCUUUCAUUUAACGAUGUCAACUUGGAAGUUCUAGCUUGGUCUCCAAGUUUGCUGGCCUAGAUUUGACCAUCAAACAGUGUUGCACAACGUACGAAUUAAACAUAUUACAAAUACACAGUUGAACAGUUCAUUUCCUACCUAAAAGCCUUAUUAAGCGAUCAAAUGGUUGGCAUAAGCAUACAUGGUAGUUGCCAGUUGGCAAUUGUUGGACCGUUGAUGAAGCAUACCUAAAUUAUAUUCUACAAUUCAACUAAAUAAAAAUAAAAGUGCCCCCAAGAUAUUGUGAUAUUUCAAUAAAUGUACAUUGUACGAAUUAAAAAAUAAAAUAAAACUGGGAAAAAUAAUUGAAAUGAGUCACACAUCAGUUAAAAGCACAUGGAACUUGGGAGAUGGCAACAGCUGUUGAUAAAAGCAGUUUUUCUUGGAGAAUGAGUAACAGACGUCAGGAGCAGGAGCAGUCAGGAGAUGUGAAAAAUCCUUAAUGUUUUCAGCCAGAGGUGUACCUGCUUGUCUGUUGACUCGGCCUCAGUGUCUUCUCUUCUGUUCAAAUCAAAUGGUUUCAUAUAUUUAUUUGUCACAAUUUGUUUCAUCCAGUAGGGUAUGAAUUAUGCAAAUAAUUUAUCGUUUAAUUCGCAUACAUUUUUAGCAAUUUUUUUUUUUAAAAAAACAAUGGCUUAAGGUGUUUUAAUACUACUUGUUCAAGUAAAUAGGCAUGUCAUCAUAUGAUCAAAUGGAUGUCCCUCUGUCCAGUUGUAUUAAACUUAUUUUAAUAGUUCUAGAAGGAUCGAUUAUUUUGUUAUCUUCUCUUUGUUAUUAGAAACUACAUGUAGGAUGUAGGAAUUGUUCGCAUCCUAUUUCUCAUAGAUUAGAUUAAUUUAGAGAUAAUCGCUCGUAUAAAAAACAAAAACUAUAUAUAUAGGAGCUUAAUUCUUAUUUGUACAAGAAUUAGGAAGAAGCUAAAAACCGUUUUUUAGUCGUAAAAAGUUAAAAAAUUAGAGAUAGAAAAACGUAAGUAAAACGUUGAAAUUUGGUGAUACAUUUUUCUUCUUUAUUACUUUGUUCGGCUUUGACUUCUACUCUUGUCCUACACAAAGAAGAAGAAAAAGAAACAUUGUCAUGUGGGUUUUGUUAGGGGGAAAAAAAGAAAAGGAAGAAGAAGAAGAAGAAAAUUGGUAAAUUAACUUGGUGUAUGAUUCUAUCACAUGGGUGCAAUCACGUGACUGCAUGAGGCUCUGUAGUUUUUUCUUACAUUUCCACCCAAAAGAUUAUACAAUGGCAUUUACUCAAAAACAAAAACAAAAACAAAACAAAACAAAAUAUUAAACCCUAUGUUGUGCACGUGUCAACACGUGCCUUGGAACCGUCCAAUCAAAAAAUAGACAAAAUUAAGCAUCUUCGUUCUGGUGUGAAAAUCUUGGUGUAGUUUAAUUUGAAUAUUUAUUUAUUUUGGAUAAAGUUGAACUGCAGAUAUAAGCAGGCGUAAAUUAAUUAUUGAAAUAGAUUGACUGACUUUGUUAAUUACAAUCGUACAUCUCUCAUCAGCACAAUCCUGGUCAAAUGUUGACAAGAUUCAUUCAGCAUGUUCCUUCUCCAGUGAAAACUUAUAUUUAUAGGUUUACUUUUUUUUAAUUAUUUUUUUGGGAUGAAUUGCGUAGACUUGAAUUGUUGAACUGAUUGACUAACUUUGUUAAUUACAAUAUCUAGGAGAUUCUUCUUGGUUAUUUGUAAUUAACUAACAAUCAUCAAGUGUACAUAAGAGGGGCUUUGAUUAAUCAUAGUCUAGAGUUCUGAUUUUGGUGAACAAAUUUGUUGAGUCGGGGUCAGGUGUGUUGUCCCCUCAUUGUAAUUCUUCGUUUUAUCAAUAAAAUUUCUCUCGUUCCAUCGAAGUUCUCUAAAAAAAUAAUAAUAAGAGGGGCUUUGACUAAUCAUAGUUUAGAAUUCUGGUUUUGGUGAGCAAAUUUGCAUAUGAAUUACCAAAACAACAACUUUUAUGGUAUAAUUAGUAUGCAUUGAGAUAAUAAUUGGAGUUUUCAAAAAUGAACUCAUAUGAUUAACAGAAUAUGGUUCAUUAAUUACUCACAAGCUUAUUCUACAAAACCCAAUUAUUGAGAGGGAAAGGGGUAUGCAAAAAGAUAGAUAACUGUGACAUUGUUUUGUUCGUUUUCUGUUGGUAGUAGGUACCGCACUUCCUUUGUCUUUGUAUAAUUUUUGUGGGUCAAUGAAUGUUGUAUUAGUAUCCUAAGUCUUUGGAUAGAUCUGAGCUCAGCCCAAUUUUAACACUUGGGCAUCUGGAAACGAAGCCCAAAAUAAAACCCAGAUCCACAACUAUAGAAAAUCACAAUGGACUUUAGCUUCCAAUGUUGGGGUAAUAAGCUGGAGAUUCCAUAGUGUGGGGCAAAAUAGUAACAGUGAAACUUACAUACAUCGGGUUGAUAUAAUAGUUGUGUUUACAACAUUUGUCUAGUGAUUAGGUUAAGUGUUGUGUACUCUUGUUACAAGAUCUAGCACAAUGAAAAAGAGUCUUGACUUGCAGACCAAUGAUCUCAGGUUUUAAAUCCUGAACUGCCAAUUUUUCGUUCUAAAUGCCUAAGUGAAGGGAAAAUUGGGUGUAGAGAUUUCUAAAAUCCCAUAAAGCUAUGAAGGAACAAAUCAUAUAGCCUAUGCAUAUCAUAUAUGAAAUCAAAUAAAGCGGAAACAAGAAAAUAGCUAGAGAUUCAUACUAGUCUCUACUUAGGUCCCAAUUUUUAUAGGUCUAUGACAGUUUGCACCAUUGACACCAAUAUCCCAUAUUAAAGAGAAAGUAGAAAGUGAGGUUACCUUUGGAGCAUAUCUUGAAUCUCAAAAUGAUAUUCAAGUAGAGGGAGUUGUCCCUUAAUUGUUGAUUCUCCACCUUGGUCUCGAAAUAGGCACAAAAGAGGUUAUGCUUCCCCAAAGUAUCUUCACCAAGGUAGAAUGAGAAUGAGAGAAUAAGGAACCAAGAGAAGAAAAUGGGUGCUAGUCUUUUAUUCCCUAUGGUGGCCGGCCAAGUGAGACUAGGGAGGAUGCUUGAUGUCUUCCUCUCUUCCUAAAUGCCUAACUUGAAACCCUAAGGAGGUUUGAUGUUAUGUGUAUGAAUUUAUAGAGACAUUUUGUCACACAUAUGUCCCCGAAAACCCCCAUGUACCGCAUCCUCCCUCUUCUUGGUCUUUUUGGGCUACUUUGGUCCACCACAUUAAUCCCUUAGAGCACUUCCACCCCUAUGGGCAAGGGCAAGGUAAGGGCUCUCACUAUUCACGUGAAUAGUGGCAGCCCUUGCAAUUUUGUUUUCACCCCAAUGAGUAAGGGCAAUUACUAUUCACUUUAAUUUAUUUUCUAUUUUUUAUACUUAAACUUUAAAAAUUAAUUUUAUUAUUUAAAAUUUAUAGAAAAAAAAAAUAUAGAAUUUUUUGGUAUUUUUUUUUCAAUUUUUAUUACAUAAAAAAUGGCAGUCAUUGGAUUGUAGUGAAAAAUUUGAUAGGACGCCCCGGGUGCUGCCACGUGUCUUGUGGCAGUGGCAAACAAAUUUGAAAAGCGUGCUAACGCCACGACGUCAGCAAACCUAAGCAACCACACGGGCUGGAUCUACCUUUGGGCUUGCCCAGGUUGGUGGCCCCACGUCUUACUCGGGAUGCUUUGUGCGCGCCAGAGUCAUCUCACAGGCCUAGGGCCCCUCCUGCUCGGGCCAAACUGUUGCGGUGAACUUGCUCUUAAUAUGUCAUAUUUUGCCUAAGUCCAUAAGGUCCAUUCUUAUAAAUAUUUAAGUUAUAUAGGACUAAAAUUAAGUUCCAUAACUUUAAUUAAUUCAUUUAAGCUAAUCUAAUUUGUUUAAUUGAUUUGAUGACUUAAUCAAUUAAAUCAUUGUCUUGUCUAACAAACAUUGGUCCUUGUCAAGCAUUGGUCCUAGACUGCUUUCCGUUCUUAUCUUUAUUCAUUGACUUGAAACACAAAGACCGGAUUAGGUCGACCAAUUCGAUCCAAUUAACUGUUGAAAUUCAAAAAAAUAAAAUAAAAAAUUGAACUAAACUACUUAAACCGGUCUUAUUCGGUCGAUUUGGUUAGGUUUUCGUUAUAAAUGUCAUCCUAAUAAAAGGUGUACACUCCUAAAUAUACAAAAAAAGAAGUGUACGGACCAUAAUUAUUAUGUCUACUAGACUGGAUUUUGUCAUUUGCCUAUUGGGCCCUCGUAAGUUAUGAUUGAUUUCGCCAUCCAAUUACCCCAACCCUAAAUGUCCCAAACAUUCUAUUCUCUAGUACUAUAUAUGUAGCACUUUAAUAACAUAAUUUCUCUCUCUCUUUUCCUAACAGUGCACACUCACUCAGUACCAUAUACAUUGUCCAAGUGCUGAUCAUAAUCUGAGUGGAAACAACAGUAAAUCUAGAUGAAGAAUUCGUCAAAAGCAAACACACCUAGAGAUAUUCUACAAAUGCUUUUUUCUUUCGAGUAAUAAAAUUUCUCCGGUGAGCUGCGGUUCACAAAAAGAAAUAUGAAAAAGAUGCAAAGGGAUUUGCAUAAUUUUCCUGUUGCAAAGUCACAUUUUAAUUAAACCUCUGUUUUUCUUUCUUCUGGUCAUAAGUGUAGGAUAUCAAAUACACAGAAAAUUUGGCAGGCGAAUAGCCACACAAACAGACAAACAAAAAGCCACAAGCGAAAUCAGAAACAUCAUGAUUGAAAUCUAAAAUUGAAUGCUGAUGAAAUGAAAACGAAGGGCGGAUGGCUUGGCUUCUGUCCUUUUGUGCCAACGUGUGCAGUCACAAGCAUUGUAUCUUCAGUGUUGCUUCGAGAUCACGACAUAAUAUUUAAAUGGCCAUCGGAUCGAUAAGAUGCUUUUCUUUGCAUGGCUAACUAACCUAUUUGGUCCUCUUCUUCUCGCUAGCCUUAAUGGAAUUUGGACAGAAAUUCUGAUGCUACACUGAGAAAGAAUCAAAUCCAAAACGCAAAAAUAGGAAUUUGGAGAACUUUGCAUUGAAUUCAAUGUUUGGCAAAGCACAGCGCCAAUAUUUAAUAUGAAUGGCAAAUCUAAUCCCGGCCAACAAAUCUAAACCCCCAAAAAUCAAAUAUUGACUCAAUCCUUUUUAACUAAUGAAACUAUACCAAAAGAAUUUAGAAAAUUAAAAUUAUGACUUAUUUGGAAAUGCAUAAGCACUCCUAUUCAUAAGUACUUUUUUAAAGGCGCUUCUAUUAGAAGAACGUCAAAAAUUUUAUUUAAACUACAAAUGAGCAAUUGUAAGUGAUAUGGAGAAGUAUCGAGAAGUGAUUCCUAAAGAAUCACAUGCCUCUUCAAAAAAUGCUUUGUGGUCCAUAAGCACUUAUAAGUUUUUCUAUCAAACUCUAUUAGAAGUCAAAGAAUUUCCAAACAGACCCUUAAUUUAGAUAAUGUACAUCGUUUCUUUAUAGGGAUAUUGUUGUUUGCACAACAAAAAAAAAAGCCACUUGCAUUGCUAAAAUGCACGGAGAAGUACAUCAAACUAUCAUAUCCUUGCUUGAAUUCUUUUUUUUAGUACCUUUACUGGACAUUUCUAAAUAAUAAGCUCUAGUUGUGGUGGAACAUGACAAAAUGAUACUCAAGUUGGACCUAAGUCAAAUACCUCACCAUUACAUCACCAUACUCAUUUACAAAGUGUUUCAUACGUGUGAUAUUGAAGCACCAAUGAGGCGGUUCUGGGGUGGUGUAAGUAGUGCCAUCGUACAGAGCUCCCAAUUUUUAAGGGCCCUCGAAAUUUUGUUUUCUUUAUAUUAUACAUUAUUAAUAUUAUAACAAUCGUAUGUAUAUACUCUAACGUGCUACAUAUUGACAGAAAAGCAUUUGUAGUGGAGCUGGCUUUCCAGCGAAAAAAGGGAAAUAUCAAACUUUAACUAACCAGCAACAAUAUAUAUCCCCCAAAAUGAUUCCUCCUCCCUCCGAGCAUGCUAAUUCAUCAUAAAUUAGCACGAUAGAGUAUAUAUAUGAUAGUUAUAAUUAUUAUAUAUGAUCGUUUUGGGGUUAUACAACAAUCAUAUAUUUUUUUUUAAAUUUGAUUUCUAAUUUUCAUUACAUGCUAAUUUAUGAUGAAUUUUAGUUAUAAAAAAAUUAUUUUAUAACAUUAGGUUAUGAAUAUUUUUAAAAAAUAAUUUCCUAUUUAAGUUUCGCACACGACUCUUUUUACUUUUCCUUUGAGAUGUAAAUAUAUGUACCGACCUAUAUUUCCCCUUUGCCCUUUCUUGUCCUAAUCGCAUUAUUAAGCCUUUGAUGAAUGAAACAACCACAAACAAAACCAAAAGUUUGAGAAUACGAAAAAGGACUCCUUGACCCUAAAGCCAUCACCUUGACCAUCCGGAUACAUUGGAUUCAUGGCUAAUAUAUGCAUGGUCAUUAUGGAAGCUUCCGUCAACACGUGGGAACAAUUUCUCAGCCAGACUUUUUGACACGUGGCUAUUUGUGGCCCCUCCUUAAAUUUCAUAAUAAUAGCCUACAUGUGCUUUUUGAACCCAUAUAAAAUGCUGUUGCCCAACACUUAGUUUGGCCAUGCAAAACUACAUCAUAUAUGGACUCCAGAGGAAAGGUCAUGGAAGAGAAGGAAGGCGGAGAGGUUCGAUACCGGGGCGUGCGGAAGCGGCCGUGGGGCAAGUAUGCCGCUGAGAUUCGCGACUCAAACAGGCACGGUGCACGGGUUUGGCUUGGGACUUUUAACACGGCUGAAGAGGCAGCUAGAGCUUAUGAUCAAGCUGCUUAUGCCAUGAGGGGUGGCUUGGCCAUUUUGAAUUUUCCUACUGAGUACCCAGCAAGUGGUGGCUCUUCCUCUUCAUCGUCUUCGGCUAAUUUUUCAUCAUCAGUGGCUGGGACUAGCCAGGGGAGAGGUCGUGGGGAGCAUGGAAAUGAAGUUCUUGAGUUAGAGUACUUGGAUGAUAAGUUGCUAGAGGAACUGCUUGAUUGUGAUCACCAAAAGAAGAACAAAAAAUAGUGAGGUUGGUAUCCCUUUUUGGCUUAAUAAGCAGCUAUCCACCGUCUAUUUCUGCAAGGCACAUCGCAAGGUCAAUGAUGCUCUUAUCUUUCUUUGUUGAUAUGUAACUAGAUUCUGAUAAUCACCUUUUGCCUGCGUGUGUUUUUUCAAUGAAGAAUCUAGCAAAAGUGUUGUGUGUUGUUAAGCUUUUUAAGAUAUGGUGAUUUUCCUUCUACAAAAGUAUGAUCUGCGCACAACGCAGAAAAUACAUUGUGAGUAGUAGUUGUAUGUAUGCACCUUUAAUUUUCAGGGGUUGGUAAUUUUUGACACUGACUCCAAUUUAAUAAGAAGAAGAGGAUGAUUACUGGAUCUGACACAAUUCACUAACACGAAUAACUCUGCUUAACUUGUUUUGUGUGAUGAAAAGUAAUGAUUUUCUCAUUUGCUUUUAUAAGCCUCAUAAAUUAGGAUUACUUUCAUGGUUUUUUCUAGAUUGACUUUAUGAAUUGUUUAGCUUUAGACUUUUAGUCCACAAUUUACGAAAUUCAACUUGAAUAUGACACAUAAAUGAGUUAAGUUACGUACUAUCGAACCAUUUACAAUGAUAAUUACAUAAAUCAUGAAAAGGUUGACAACUAUCCGACAUGAGUUUUUGAAGAAUGUUGAAGUUUCACUCAUAGACGGAACUACACUAUGGCUAGAGUAGGCUCUAGCCUUUAAAGGUUUGGAAAAAUGAAAUUUAAUACUAUUUUUUACGCACUACACCUCAUUUUACAAACAAAUCUCUAGUUAGCUUCAAGUUUUCCCCUAUGAUAAAAUAAAUGGAAUUUUAUUUAGAUCUUUACCCAUAUAAGAAAUAAUAGCCCACCCCUAUAAAAAUUUCUAGUUCCGUCACCUAGGGGUGCAAUUUGGAUUGGAAAAUCCGAUUCCAAUCAAUUAUGUUAUGACAAUUUCCGAUUUUGGCAAGUCCAAAUCAAUUUCGACUUCUGAAAAUUCCGAUAAAAAAUUGGAUUGGAAUUGGAAUGUAUCAAGAGAUUUGCAAAAAAUUCCUAUCUAAUCCGUCCAAAAAUCAGCCCCACUCCCAAAAAUUUGAGAUUCCACCACAAAAUCAAUAUAGUUAGAGUAAUAUUCUCUUACCAAAUUUGUAAUAUAUGCACUCAUUUUAACUAGGGUAGUACCUACAAAUAUGAAGGCACCUACCUAUUAUAUCUUUCAAGUAGUAUAUGUAUGUAAUUAAGUGUCUAAAAUCAAAAUUUACAGUUUAAUAUCCUCAACUUUUGCCCCACAUAAAAAGGGUCCUUCAAUUUCGAUUUUUCGCCUCUUUGAUUGGGGGUAAUGUUCUCGAAUUUUCACCGCUUUUUCUAAACACUAGGGACUCUUUGCAUCUGUUUGGCUCUCUUGUUGUUCUUACUCUUAAUUGUGGUUUAUUUUUGUACCACUCCCCUGUACUUUGGUUAGGCUCUUUUGCCUCCAAUCUUUAGAUAAUAAUAUUUACAUUUAAAAAAUAAAAAAACAAAAAAAAAACUUUGUCCCACACCUCUGAACAAAUUGACAGGAUAGACUGUUUUUUGAAUUUGUGGCUGAAAUGGAUGUUAUAUAAGUUAUAACAACGUUCAACAAUUGUUAAUUAUAUAAUAGUCCACUAUAGUGAUCUCCAGGCGCACCACAAAUAUACAAAUUUUUAUAUAAAAAAACCCAAAAAACGUAGCCGCCAGUCCUUUCAUUUGGAAUGUGGCCAACUUUAUUUUUCACUGUGUAAUGUCAUUUUAUUUUGUCGCAAUCAAGCGAAAAAAUACAAUUAAUUAAGAAAAAAGUAACAAAAAUACAAAAAGAAAAGGCAAAGUUGAUAGAUUCCAAGCAAAGAAAUGUAAGGUGUGGUCAAAAGCUAGACACUAAUUCUUGGGUUUUACCACUACAGAUUGGCGCUUACAAAGCAGUCUGCUGUUUCUGUUAGGCGUUUUUUUGGGUUGCAAAAUUCGAUGUUAGGCCCAAGGUUUAAAAUAUCGAGAGUUUCGAAAAUAUCGGUUGUUCAAAAACACGGAAAUAUUGAUGGAAAUAUCGAGAAAAUAUUGAUAUCGAUAAAAAUUGAAUAAAAAUCAAGAAAAUUAUGAGAAAAACUUGGAAAUUUUUAUUGAAACUUUAGAUGAUGUUUAUUUAGUCAAUUGUCUAUUAUUUUAUCACAAAAAAUUGGAAUAAAAUGCAUGGCAUGGUGGGUUAGAGUGAUUUAAGUUGAUUAUGCGCAACGACCUAACAAACACCGUGUCUUUAGAAAAUAUGUAGUAAUUAGUGAAAGAAAAUUAAACGCACCAUAAUUUUUUAGUUAUAAUAAUUUACUACAAUAUAUUGCAUAUGAUAAGAUAUAUGAGCUUGACAAAAAAACAAAAACAAAAUAUAUGAGUAACUUAGUACCACAUAAAAAAAAUUCCUAUUAAAGUUAAAACUUAGUAUCACAUAUAAUGAACAAUAUUAAAACUCAAUAGUGAAUAAUAAUACAAUUCCAUAAUAUAUAACCAAAAAAAAAAAUCCAUAAUAAAAUAAUAAAUAAAAUUAAACAUAUGCCUAAAUUUAUCAUUAGGGAUUGUUUUUUUAAAUGGAAAUUUAUCCUAGAUAAUAUUAGCUUGCAGAAAUUUUUAAGACCAUAUAAAUAUUACACGUUGUAACAUUAUUAAUAAACUCAUUCGCAGCGUGUUGGAUAAGGCCUAGUAGAUGGAUGGGAAAGAGAGUGGUUAAUCCCCUAGUUGGCAAAAGCGCCAUUUCUCAACAAAUUUCAUUUAUUUUUCAGUUUCAAUUGCGAUAUUAUUGAUAAUAUCGCGAUAUAUUGCCCAAAUAAAGGACGAACGAGUAUGAAAUUAUCACCUCUGACAUUAUCGCGAUAAUAUCGAUAUAUUGACGAUAAUUAAGUGAAUAUGGCCUAAAAUAUCGAUCAUUUAAAAAAACGAUAUUAUCAACGAAAUAUCGCCAAUAAUUUCGAUAUUUAAGACUGUGGUUAGGCCUCACCAAGUUUUGGAGGCCGUGACUUGUGCUGGGGUUUAAGAGCACUUGUGAAUUGAACUGGCUGCAAGCUAGUAUUGGGCUCAGUUAUGAAUACAUAAAGACCUCAACUGAGGCCUGCUACCUACAUACAGUCUCUGUUUUGUUGAAAAAGUUGUGAGUUCAAAUGUCAUGAACGGCAGUUGUUUUUUAUUUUUUAUUUUUAAUACAAGCUUUAGUCUUAAACUACAAGGCGAGAAGAGUUUCUCUCACACACGCAUUUGCGUUGUUGAAUGAAAAAUAAUAAUAAUAAUUUGCUCGAGUCAUUCUGAAGACGAGUUUGGUUAAAGGUGGACUUCAAAGGCUACAAAUCUAAUAACAGAGAUAUGGAAAACGAAAUUUAUUUCCUCCUUUGCAAUUGUUCCUCUCAUGUUAAACACAAAACAUGCAUGCUCAUUCAUUCUCUCUCCAAUCUUGACCAUUUUUCAUUUGUUGGGCUUUUAUUUGUGGUGGUGGUGUUAUUCGAAUUUGUUCUCUCCUGCUUGCCUGGACUUGUUUGUGUCAUUUGUCAACUACUAGUACUACGAAUCCCAGCGUUACUUUGACAAGUAAAGUACUUGUGUUUGGGACAAAUUUGUCUGUCGUCAGCAGUGGUAUGUAUAUAUAUUCUUAACCUUUAUAUCCUUGUCCAAAUUGCUCUUCUAAAUUAAUCAUUUCUUUCUUGGGUUGGGACUAAUCCUGGCUUCAUCUUAAAUUCUUAAUGGAUGAGAAAAGAAUUUCAUGAAACAAAGAUUCUCUGUUUGUGUUUGGAAACAAGGUUCUCUAUUUUCCUGUUGCGUGAUUCUAAAGUUUGUCAGUGGACUAAGCAAGUCCUGUAUUGUCUCUUCUUCAAUCUUUAUUAUGCCUUUCACCAAGGAGACCAAAAUAUAAUCUAGAUAGUGAUCCAACUUUCUCCUUUUUUCAGGAUUUGCAAAAAUCAGGAGAUUGUUUUUUGUACUUUUCAAGCACCUCUUGCACUUUUCUAGCCAAGUCUAAAUAACAAUUUUUAAAUUUAUUUUAUCAAAGAUCUGAGCCAAUCAAACUAACACUCCAUUGGUAGUAUUAUAAUUUUUGAAAGGAUUCAUUUUCCACAACAACAAAAUAAAAUAAAAUAAUAAAAAUUAUGAGUAUUCUCUAUUGAGAAUGCCCUCAAUAUAAGAAAAGUAAGAAUUUCAGUAUUGUCAUAGCCCAUAUUGCAAUAGUGGUAUUUAUAUUUCUAGUAUGAAAAGAUAUCUCAAAUUAUUUUUUAUAUUAGAAGCCGUCUCAAGUUCGAAUCUCUUUUUUACGUUGAUAAUAACAACAUAUUAUUAGAGAUACCAUACACAUACAUGUGCAUAUGUGUAUAUCAUACCACGUCAUGACUAAAACAAAUUAUGACAUGAAAAAAUGUGCUUGCUAAACCAUGGUUGAACAACAUAUAUUAUUUUAUAGAAGGGAAAUGUGUUCAACUCACUAAACAACAAGGGAAGAAAAAGGUUACACAAACACAACUCAAUUUCACUUCCGUUUGUUUUUCUCCUCUUGAGAAUCAAGAAGGUCCUCCAACACAUGGUCAUCCAAAUACUCAAUCUCAAAGACUUGCCUUCCUUGUCCAGUAGAUGAACUUCCACCAGGAGCAGCAGCAGCAGCAGCAGCAGAAGAAGAAGAAGAAGAAGAAGAUGAAGAAGAAGAAGAAGAAGAAAAUGAUGAUGAGAAUCUAGGAGGAUGAGGAGGAGAGCCCAUAACUUGAGAAUAAUACUCAUUUGGAAAGUUGAGUAUGGCAAGAUGACCCCUUAAAUUAAAAGCAGCUCUGUCAUAAGCCCUUGCAGCUUCUUCAGCCGUAUCAAAUGUGCCAAGCCACAGACGAGCACCUUGCCUUGAAGGGUCUCUUAUCUCAGAAGCAAACUUCCCCCAUGGCCUCCUUCGGACUCCCCGAUAACGCACUUCUUCGCUUCCCUUCUCUUCCAUUCCUUGCUUCUGUAGAUCCUUUCCUCUACGAGGGUCUUCCAUAAUUUCUAGCUUGAUUCUUUGAAUAAUUUCUGGUGGUCGUUAAUUUUGACAAGCCUUUCUGUUUUUGGUUUAAAAUAUGGUGGCAUAUAAUGUAUCUCAUUGAUAUAUUUAUAGGUGUUUGAUUUUGGGACAAAUGGGGUCAUAUCACAUAUGACUUAGAUGUACUGUGAUUGUGAGAGUCCACAUGAACGUGGAUUGACCAAGCGUAAAUGGAUGUUUCUUGGAAGGUUCUUCAUCUUCAUGUAUAUUAAUUAUUAUCAUCUAGGGCUAUAAUAGAGGUGCAAAAAUUCGAUUCUUCGACUCUUUCUAUGAUCAAAUUCAAAAAGGGUUUGUAAAUCUCUUUUCUUGAUAGGCAUUUUCUUUCAAAUGGGCUUCGAAUUCUAUCUUUUUAUGUUCAUAUUAUGUGAGAAUAAUAGAUUGUGUUGGUUGGUAAUAGUUUUUUUCUUUCUUUCACUGAACCAUUGAACUGUAUUGUCACUUUACACAGAAUAUGUAGAGAUUGAUUCCCAUAUCACAAAGAUUGGAGGAAUUAGACCCACAGAAUAUGAAUGCGUAAGUGAUUCCAUCCUAAUAACUAAGAAUAUUACAAGCAUGCACUAGCCAUACAAUUUUGGUUGAAGGCAAAAAUAGGAAACUCAGGAAAAGCAAGAUAAGGUCUCAAGGGGUAUAAUUUUCCUAUUUGGUGGAAAAGUGGACUGCUAUAUAUUGUCCCCUUGCACUACUCCCUCGUAAUAUGCUUUGAUCAUUGUAGGGAUUUCAGAUAUGAGAUUUUUCAAAUCAUAUCAAAUUAUUCAAAUUUUAUUUUAUUUGAUAUGAAGCAUAUAGAAUAUGAAAAUAUUUUUGCUCACUACUUUAACCUAAUGUGUACUCUCACCAUCAUUCUCAACACUUGACACAUGUUCAUAGGCAUAACUAUAGUUAACUCUUUGUUUUGUAUUUGUGGAACCAUAGUUAUGCCCAUGUACACAUGUCAAGUGUUGAGAAAAGUGGUGAUGGUACACAUUGGGUUAAAAUAGUGAGCAAGAAUGCUUCGUAUAGAAUAGCAUUCAAACAUUAACGACUCAUUUUGGCUCACUCCACACUAUAAUUCUUUGAUCAAAGUCAUUCAUUCUGCAUUCCAUGAUCAUGGUUGCAAAUAUACACUCAAAUUGAAAAAAAUAUAUAAAUUUCGACACAACGAUAUUUUAAAUUACUCUAAUGUAUAUGGAGGGGAACAAACUUAGAUACAAGUGGGUGAGUACACUGCCUUGGCCAAUGGCCAUAACCCACACCUGCUCAAGUUGAAAAUCUUUGAGUAUUUGUGAAUAUUUUCAUUAUGUCUCAUAAUGUGUUCAUCUAUUUAUUUUAUCACAAUUAAAAUAACUAAAUGAUUUUUCAUUUUGAAUAUUUUUUUAUUUAUAGAAAUGAUCUUUCAAUGAGUACCUAAAAUUGAAUGAUUCAAAUCAUAUAAUAUAUUAUGGAGCGGACCUGGUGAUUAAUUAACGUAAUGUUGUCAAUCAAUAUGGUCAUAAAAUGUGAUCCCUUUACCUUUAUUUGUAAAAAGUGCUACUAUUUCCACUCUAUGUCCUAUUUUCGCACCCACAUAACCUUUCCAACUACCAUGUAAAUUUGAAAAAACACAAUCCUAUCUUUUCACACAUCAUUAUUCCUAAAAUACCCUUAAUUAUUAAUUCAAGCAAAUUCUCUUUGCUAAUCAUUAGUAGUUGAGAUAUUGAGAGGAUGAAGUUGUGUUUGAUGGACUGGAUAAAUGCUUUAGCAACUGAGGAGUCGUACACUUUCUUCUUCUUUAUUUUUUCUUUUUGUCAAACGAUGGAAUAGGUGGGUUACAUGAGUUGAGGUUUCUUUUCCCCAAGUCCUUAGAAAUCAUUUUACAAAGGGAAAAAUUUGUCUUUAAAAUUUUAAAAAUAAAAUAGGCAAAAAAAUAGAACAUGGGGUGGAAAUAACAAUACUCUUUAUAAAACAAAACAUAAAAAGAGAAUAUAUAAGAAUAACCAAAUGAUCUUGAGUACAUCAUAUAUUCUUCUGUCCAAACAAUCGAAAAAUUCCUAAAGUAUUAAAAAGUGGCAUAGGAUUAAAGUAAAAUUCAGACCCUCCCUCUUCCAGAAAUAAAACCAAGACACUCUCGUCGUUUAAAAAAACAUGUUCUCAAAUACCACUAUAGUAAUACUGAUAUUCAAGAGCAUUUCUCUUGCAAGAUGGCAAAUCAAAUAACCUUUUUUUCUUCUUUUCCAAAUGGGAUAAAAUAUAAGUUUUGGUAAACCUUGAAGACAAAUUAUAUGUCAUUAACUACCAAACCAAUAACUCGUCCGUAAAAAAGAAAGUGAAAACCUAAGGGCCGUUUGAUAAUCAUUUCAAUUUUAGUUUUUCAUUUUAAUUUUUCAUUUUUUGUGCUAGAGCAUAGAGGAAAAAGAGGGAGAGGGGAAGUGAGAAUGAGAAUGAAGAUGAGAUUGAGAGGGAAUAUGAGAGAGGAGGAUGGGAGGAAUGAGUAACAAAAGUGAAAACAAAAACUAAAAACUGAAAUCUAUUUGAAAUUGUUUUCACAUUCAAGUUUUCGUUUUCACUUUUGUUACUACUCCCUCCCAUCCUCCCCUCUUAUCCUCUCUCUCAAUCUCAUCCUUACUCUCAUUCUCACUCUCAUUUUCCUCUAUACUCUAGCACAAAAAUAAAAUAAAAAAAAAUAAAAACUAAAAAUAAAAUGGUUAUCAAAUGAGGCCUAAGUUACCUAACCUAAUAUUAUUAUUUUUUCCUUCCAAAACCUAACCUAAUAAAUUUCUUGGAGGUAAAAAAAUUAGGCGCUAUAUCUAUCAAUUGGAAAACAAGAAGAGUGCGGACUCAUGCCCCAAGCAUUUUGUGAUCACUGAUUACGUCGUUAAAAACAGUGUGACAUACAUAACCAAUGGGCUGUGCCCGCUCGGAAAGUGAAUCCCAAAAAGAUUUUGUUAUUUGUCUUUAAAUAUUUGUUUUGGUUACAAAGAAGGCUUGCUUUUUUAUUUAUUUAUUAUUUAUUUUAUCUUGCUCUCGAAAUAUGGGCAAAAGAAGAAGAAUUGAGGGUUUCUUUUGUUUCAUGAUUAGAGAAACGUCAAUCUAUACUAAUGGGAAUUGUCAAAGCUUGCAUACGUUAGGCCAUACGCACAAGGAAACAUGAUGAGCUCCAGCAGAUUAGUUUUUUUCAUAGGUUCAUCCAGGACAGAAUCUUUAUAGGAUCAGAAGCUAUAGAAAAUGGUCCAAUUCGUGUAAACGAAAGCUUUGACAUUGCCAAGAUAUUCAAAAGGAGCUCCUCACUAACUCCAAUUUAGUAUUAAUUUAAAAAACAAAAAGGUAAGCAAGGAACUAAGAAACAAAACCAAAAAAUAAUAAUAAUUAAAGCAAAGAAAACUGAGAGAAUUUGGUUUGAAUGUCCUAGAACAUGGAGACCAGAUCAUCCCUAGCUACUUUAAACUGUUAAUGAAGCUUUGUAUUGAGGCAGAUUUAGUCUUGGAUCAAUUUAAAAAGAUGAAGGAAUUGCAUUCUUAUUUGCCAACACCUUUCCGAUUUUAUUAAUUACAACUCCUUAAUCAUGGUUGUUUGACCCUCUAAAUUCUAAUCCUUUGAAUAUUGUAGCAUGCACUUUUUUCAAAUGUUAGAUAUAUGUGGUUGUUGUUUGAAAAUGAAAACAUGAUCAAGCGAAAACUUAGCACAAAGAGCCAAAAUUUGUAAGCAUCUUGAAUGGAAAAUAAUAUUGAAAAGAUGCAUAGCUUUAUGGGCAUCUAUGCCUUUUUAACAAAGAGUGGAGAAACCGUGUGAACCUAAUUCUCAUCGAGGAAAAGCAGUUUCAGAAUCUAAAUCUCUCAAAUGAAAAUUGGGGAUAGCGGGGAUAGCGGUGUUUUGUCGAGGUAUCAUAGAAUGUCAAAAACUUUUGACAAUGUCAAGAUAUAAACCUUGUGAACGUAAGAGAUUUAUAAACCUUUUAACAAUGCCAAGGUAUCAUAGAAUGCAAAAAAACUUACUUGUAACGGGGAUAGCGGUGUUUUGCUAUCCCCAGCUAAUUAUACAAUGACAUGUAGAAAAAUUAUCCUACGUGUCAUUGCAUUAUUGAUCGGGAAUAGCAAAAUAAGAGUUUUUUCCCAUAAAAUGAAGCUACGAGUUGAGCAUGAAUUGGGUGCUCUAAAAUACAUUUUAUGCUCGCAUUGGCCCAUCAAUAAUGCAUGAGUUGCUGGGUUUAUCAUUUGAAAGUUAUACAAUUUGUUACACAAGUGGAACUCUAGAUAACACAAUUUGAAGCCCAUUCCAAAUUGCAACAGUGUUUUUAGUUGUAUCCAAAUUUGUUCUUUAAAAAAAGCUCCUCAUUUUGGGAGAAAAAUCCCCUCCUAAGGCCUUAACUUGGUUUGCAAAUGCUAAGGAGAGAUUUCAGGCCCAUUUUAGUUGACCCAGGUAGAUAUCUUCAGAUUUAAAGAAUCAUAAUGAGAUGGAACAAAAUAUAAAUAUAUGUUCGAAUCUUCCCGUUCUUAAUAUCGUUUGUAUAAAUAAAACAACAUAAUAUAUAAAUAAUAUCCUUUAAUGAAUCGAAAUAUUGUAGCCAAAAACCUAUAGUGGUGUUACUACACCUGGAGGCGGCUAUAAGAUCCUUAAUUCACAGUCUAAUUGAUAAUUAUGAACUAAUUUAGGUUGAUUUUUUUAGUAAUCAACUAUACAACAAAUUUUCAUAUAUUUUGUUACUGAUGAAUCAAAUCGUGCUCGAGUAUAGCCAGUGAGCAUUUGUCUCUUACAAGGAUGAUAAAGACGUACUAAUUUGGAUGAGAUCCACAUAGAAAGAAGAAAAAGCUCUGCCGGUCAAAUUCAAUCACCAAAAUGCAGAUGCAUUGAGCCUAGCCAUAAAAAUCCAAUGCUACCAACCAAAAAUAUAUAUUUUUUGGAGGCUGAUUAAUGAAAUGAAGCCCCUUUUGCAGUCCUAGGGUUGCAUGUUUAUAAUGUGAACUGGGGUUGAGGUCGUAAAAUGAUGAGUGAGAGUUUGCUGUGGGAGUGAAAAACUCAUGGGGACCCAGAUGACCUAACAACUCAUUACCUGAGCACCUAGAUUUGACUACAUUAAGGUUUAUAUUUUACCUGGGAAAUAUUCUGCAAUCAAUUACUUUGUCAUCUUUUCACAACAUCUGUACUAAUAUUAUAAUCCUUAGUUUCAUAAUGUAUGUACAGAUUCAUGUACCAUUUACAUCUUUUUAAACAGAAAUGGUUCAUCCCUUUAUCCAGCUUUCAUGUUUGAUGAUGAUAUCAAACUUAUCUUUUGGUUCGUUUCUUCUUAAUUUCAAAGAGUUUGGCAUAUCAGAUUUUGGAUCAGAAUUGUUAAUUAGAUAACAUUAUAUAUGCGCACGCGCUUGUAAUUAUAAUGCAUCAUAUUAUGACAACAUAACAUGCUAGAUAUAUAUAUAUAUAUAUCUAGCAGUCCCGAUCUCUUGGACCACAGGAAUCCAAGAGAUUUGUGGUCACUCACCGUUGGAUGUAAAUUUAACGGUUCACUCAAUCUUGAACUCCUUUUAAGAAACUUUUUUGAAUCAUUAGAUUAAUAUCCAACGGUGAGUGACCACAAUCUCUUGGACUCCUGUGGUCCAAGAGAUCAGGACUGAUAUAUCUAGUAAGUGAUCGUUCCUAUUUUUAAUUGUGACUAUUUCCACAUUAUUACUUAAGAAAAUCCUGAUUUAAGGAUGAUUUUAAUAUCCUUUUAUUCCUUUACACAACCUAUACGGCUAUACCUAUGGAUAGGAUGUCCUACAAUAUAAUAAUGUUAAAUUUUUUGCGAAAGUAUAAUAUAUUAAUGUUGGGAAUCAUAAGGAUGAAGGGAACAGAUGUAACACAUAAUAAUAAAAAUUACAAAAGAUGUUGGGACAUUGGUUUGAUAUGAUUAUUGGGGGAUCGUAUCAACUUUUUAACUUUUUUAGCAGUGAGAAAGAAAAAAAGUGAUGAUUUGUAACUCAAGCAAUUAAAAAUGAUUAUUUUUACUCACGAGAUUUUGUGUUUGAAUUCUCUCUUUCUCAAUAUCACUUAUAAUAGUAAUCAAAGUUUCUUUAAAUUUUUAUUAACUAAUAGUGAUUUAUAACAAGGAUUACUAAUCCUUAAAUUUUUUAGGAAUCAUUCAUCAAUAUUUGUGAAUGACUAAUUUUUCUCAAUCUUUUUUUACCUUGGUUCAUUUUUUCAAUUUUCCAAAAUUACUCUCAUAGAAAAAUAAACACUAAAAGUUUUUAAAGACAAAAAGUUUAGUCCUUGUGUUUUUUGUUUUAGAUGUAGGUCCUUUGACAUUUAUUUUUUUUUUGUUGUGUCAAUUUUACCCUUUGAGGUAAAUAAGGAAAACACACUGAAAAUCUAAAAUUAAUGCAUUAUUUCCUUGUAAUUGAAUUCCAUAAUUUAAUUUUUGAAUUAUUUCCUUGAUAAUAUUCCUAAUAUAUCGAUAAAAUACAAUUUUACCAAUAAAAAGUAAAGACCCACAUAUUAUACCAAACAAACACCCACAUUAAAUUAUAUACCUAACUUACAGGUAAAUAGUGUUAGGAACAUAAAUUAAAAGACUACCUUUAAGUCAGAUACAAAAAUAGACAAAAUAAAAUUGUAUGUUACCUAUUUAAAAAAAGUACAUAAAAUACUAUUACACAUUGUUAAAAAUAUGAAAAAACAUAUAUAUAUACACACACACACACACACACAUAUAUAUAUACCUAUGCAAUAUGACAUAAAUGACUAUUACCUGAUUCAAGUCAUAAAGGGCAACAUUGGAACAAAAAAUAAUUUUAAAAAUAAAAUAAUAAAAAGAUUACAUCAUAAAAUAUUAAAAAGAGAAUGUAAUUCUAUGUGGCACAAAAGUCAAAAGACUUAGAUCAAAGUCACCAAAUUCGAGGAUUAAAUCCAACUCCUUAAUAUGAAUUUGAAUCUAUAUCAACUUUUCUAUAGUUUUAAUUUAUGAUGUGGGUUAUUUGGUAAUAAAAUGUGCCAUAAAUGCAUUCCUAAGUCAUUGAAAAGCAUACCAAUAUGUGGAUUUGAUCGGUGCCAGUCCUUGAACUUUAGAUAUGCUUACUUUUAGUCGUAUCACAAAGCCAAUAAAUUUAGGGAACCGGCGGAGCUCCAGGUUUCACUUUCACUCCUUCAUAAGAAAGACAACAUGUAUGAGAUUUCACAUUCCAAAAAAGGUGCUCACCAAACAUAAGAGACUAUUCCUGCCUCAAGAUAAUGGUUAGUGUCAAUAUCCUUAAAUACAUGUUCAUUUUUAAUGCAGAAGCUCGUGGUCCAAUUUUUAAUAUAUAUAUAUAUAUAUAUUGCCACUCGGCAUUACUACGUGGCAUCGAAGGAAUUUUUCUUAUAGAUCCUAAGACCUAUUUUCAUUUGGCACUGAUAAUAACAGUAUAACUAAAAAGAUUGUACUAAAAGGAAAUCAUUGCCAUGUACAUGGUAAUCAAACGAAAAUGAAAAGAAUUACUUGUUAUUGUAGUAACUAAGGGGCGCAGUCUUGGCCUUGAAGAUUUUUGGAAAUAUUAAGAUGGUCCUAAGUGCACGGGAGGGUGGGGCAUAUGAAAGUGGCAAGUUAAAUGUGAAAAAUAUAUGAAUGGACCAUAUACCAUGAAUCUGUAGGCAUCAUUGCUGGCCUAACUGGUUAGUCAAAUUAAUAGUGAUGAAUUUGGCUUUUUGGAAUCUUCCUCAAAUUUGUUUUAAUUUCUGUAGAAGAAAAAAAAAAGGUUUAAUUUUAAAUUUAUAUAAACCCUUGGAUGGUGGUGGUGAUAGGGAGUGGUGAGCAAGACUAUCUCAUCAGACCAUUUGAGCACAUGUGAUAUAUAGAUGCAGGUAAUUAGUUUUUUUAUUUUUUUUAAUUUAUAAAUUCCAAAAUUUCCUCUUAAAUAUCUAUUUUUCUAGAAAAGAAGAAAGAAAGUAGUUGUUUGACAAAAGAAAAAAAGAGGAAAGAAAGUAGUUCAAGUUGGAACAGAAAUUACCCUGCAGUUUCCUUAUGUUUUUUUUUUUCCGUUUAUUCUCUUACUUUUCAAUAUCCAUUUCCUUUAAUUAUUUUUGUGGAUAUGUUUAUGAUAAAUAAAUAAAUAAGCAAUCGAAGUUGGAUUAGUCUUACCUGAUCGACUGGUGACAUGAGCACUAAUUGCAAUCUGCACCCUUGUCCCCCUUUCACGAGAUCGGUUGAAAUGGCAGCAAAAGUCCUUCAAGACCAAAUUUGCAUCAAACAAUUUGGACCAUAAGUUUCCCACCACAUCCCCAUAUAUAUGGUAAAAAAUAAAAAUAAAAAUAAAAAACCAAAUUUGGUAUUUUGGUUUGAAGGUUACAAUAGUGGUAUAAAAUCGUGGGAGCAUUUUGCUCAUUACUUUAAUUCAAAGUUUAUGCUCAUUACGUUUUUCAAUACUUGACACGUGUUUAUAAGCAUAACUUUAGUUAUAAAAAUCAAAGUAAAAAGUUAACUAUGAUUAUACAUAUGGAUACGUGUCAAGUAUUAAAAAGGGUGGUGCAUAUACCUUAAGUUAAAAUAGUGAACAAAAAUAUUUCCCUAAAAUUGUGGGUUGGUGGAAAAUGGAAAAUAUUUACCUUGUUUCAUUUCAUGACGGAGACCUAAAAAAGGAAUGAUCCCAAAAGGGAAUUUUCCUAGAAGCUCCAUCCAUGUACAUGAAAACAUUUCAAAGAUGCUUAACUGGGGCUACCUCAAAUAUUAUCUUUUACUGCAGCUGACUUGUCUCUUUCCUUUUCUUGUAUCCAUUCUUUCCGGAGGACUUUCAAAGUUGAACCAAAAAAAAAGUAUCCUAGUUUUGAUGACUUUGAAACAUGACAACAGGGAUGAGGUUUCAAGGGGGCGUGCAUCUAGACCUUUCAAACAUCAAUUUCCUAAUGCCGACUGAUGAGAUAAAAGUUUUGUGCAUUUGGGAUAAUAAUUUUUUAUUUAUUUUUGUAUAUAUAUAUAUAUCACAAUCACCAAACAAGUCCCAAGGAGAAAAUUUAACCCAACUUGUUGCUUCAUACAAAAAAGGUCAUUCUCAUUCGGGUGCUGAUGAGCUUGGGCAGAGUGAGCACGUCCAGAUAGCAGCAAAAUAGGAUUUUGGCUAAUCAUUUCACAUGAAUCCUGAUGUUUUAUACAAAUAGGAGAGACGUGAAGAAAACCUACCUAGGCUACCUAAGCUAGCUACCUAAACCACAGUCAAACAAUUAGUCCCCUAUUUCUUACUUUCUUUCUGUGUGUUCAUAAAAUGUAUGUGUUCAAUCUUGUCCCAUCCUUUGGUUUUUUCCGAAAACUUUGUUAAAUAAAAUAAAAAAAAAUAUAAAAAAAAUCUGACUAAGUGCUUUCAAAAAGUUGCCAAAGAAAAUUGACCACCGCUUUUUUUGUUUUUCUUUUUUUUUUUGUUUUAAAAGUUAUGAUUCAGAAUUUUAGUGGUUGUGUCAAAUCAGCUUAAAAUUUAGCUUACGUGUGUGAGCCUCUCGUAUAUAUUUAAGAGUAUCAAACACAACAAAUCAAGGCGAAUAAAGUCUGAACACAAUUAUACAUAUGCAAUGCAAAAUAAAGAUAAAAUGAAACAUAUAUCUUAAAAUGUAAUCUAGUUUAGAAAUGAAAUAUGCAAUGCAAAAUGAAGAUAAAAUAAAACAUACGUCUUAAAAUGUAAUCUAGUCUGAAAAUGAAGAGUAGAAUCUCACUUAAUUAACAUCUAUAGCUCACCAUUGAGCAAUGAGUACUAAGGCUACAACUAUUUUUCCACAUCCAUGAGUCCAUGACCUUGUGAGUCUAGUUUCUAGGGGUCAUUUUCUUUGACAUGGAAAAUCGAAGUCCACUUACACCAAAUGGGUCAAGUUUUAAGUUAGUGAUGGAUUGGUAUGAGUGGAAACCGUAGCCAAGUGAACCACGGGUGAUUUGCUCUUGUUAUUGCAAUUUAGUGAUCUAAUCUUCUUCUUCCCUAAUAAGUGAAAUUGAUGAUAAAGUGACAAGUAAUAAUAUAAAACGUAUUGCUCAAGUUUUAUUUGUAAAUCCAAAGCCAUAAGACCCUUGACUUCUUUUUUCCACCCUCAUUUCCUCGAACAUUCACAAAACCAUGACCUCUUUCUUCCCAAAUAAAUUUUUUGGGCUCCAAGCCAUCCAAGCAAUGUCAAAUAUUUUUUUUAUUUCUUUAAAAUCCUAGUUGACAGCUUUGAAAGCGAAAAUACGUGGGAAAUCCAACGGUGGUCCUUGAAGUGGUAAAAAAUUGAACUCACUAUCUCCAACGGCCAUUCAACUACCACGCAGUCUGUGAAUUGUGCCAUUCAGAGGAAUCCACAUGCUGACACGCGGGCAAGCUCCUAUGCGACAAAUGGACACUGAUAUCAUAAGCUGCUGAGGUCACCACAAGUUUCUCUCUGACCUGGCCGCCAUGCUUCAAUUGACCCAUGUGUUAAAAUUCAUCCCAACUUGCGUAGGAUCCCACAAUAAAUACAAUAAUACACCAAAACAAAUAAAAUAUAGCCAACCACAUCUUAUAUUUUAAUAUGAUUCACCUGGCUACUUUUACCUUUUCACCCUCAUAAUUUUUACCCACUCUCUUUCGUUGGGUCAUUUUUAACUUGGGGGCCCAAUUGGCCCCUACUGGUCCACAUUGGUCCUGUGGGACCCAUUGGAAUUGGGUAUAAAAAUGGGAGGAGGCCCCGAGUCUUAGCUUAACCACAACGUGUAGCCACACUUGCACAAACACAAUAUUCCAAGAAGAAAACAGAGACACCACCUCAAUUCUUCAAAUGAAUUACUCAAUCUUCCACUCCCCAAUUUCCGAUUUGUCACCUGAAUCUUCAUUCGGAUCAUCAUUUUCUUGGGAUGAUCACAAAUUUGGCAACAACUCACUUCCCUUCAACGAAAACGACUCCGAAGAAAUGCUUCUCUAUGGCCUAAUUUCCAACGCCACCCAGGAAAUAACAUCAAGAGAAACAGAGACACUCUCUGUUUCUGCAAACCCAAUCAAGGAAGAGGAAGUGAGCUCCACGUCCGACUCGGAGAACCCGAAAAGGGAAAAGUCGUACAGAGGGGUGAGGAGGCGGCCAUGGGGCAAGUUUGCUGCUGAAAUUAGAGACUCCACCAGGCACGGCAUAAGGGUGUGGCUAGGCACAUUUGACAGUGCCGAAGCUGCAGCCUUGGCCUAUGAUCAGGCCGCCUUUUCGAUGCGUGGCUCCGCGGCGAUUCUCAACUUUCCGGUGGAGAGAGUCCGAGAAUCGCUUAAAGAAAUCAACUAUGUCGCUUCGGAUUUGAACGGGGGCUCGCCGGUUGUGGCGCUCAAAAGAAAGCACUCCAUGAGAAGGAAAAUCGGGAACAAGAAGAGCAAAGUGGAGAGAGACGUGAGGAUAGAAAAUGUGGUGGUGUUUGAAGAUUUAGGCGCAGAUUACUUGGAAGAAUUGUUAAAUUCAUCUGAGAGCACAUGUGCCACUGCCACACCUAAUCGUUGAUUCAAAAACAUUAAUUCAACUUUCUUGUGUUCUUCUUUUUUUUUUUUUGGUGGUAAUUAUAUGAACCAUCAUCACUUUGAAAUCUUUGAUCUGUCUCUUCUCCAAUAUUUUCUUUUUUCUGUGAAGUUGCAAAAAAAGGAUAAGGAGUUACGUAUUUAUGUAUCCUGGUGUCUCAUUUGUGGCGCUCAAUUAAUUGAUCCUUAAGGUGAUUAGAUUUAAUAUUCUACUAGUCAACUAAUAUAGCUGGUCACUCUUAUCAUACACAAAAUGACAUUGCCACAUGCACGCGUGCUGUACGAACUCCAAGUUAAAUCACACUUAAUAGUAGUACUUCAAUCCUCACAUCUUUUUGCGUUUGGCUGGUUUUCCAUGAUCGGGAGAUUCUUAUAGUUGUCGUCAUGCAUUGCGUUAGACUCUUAUACAUAACGUAUAAUAUUUAAAUUAUGUGUGCAUUCUGUGUGCGCGUAUAAUGCAUUAGUUAGACUUUUACGUAUCGUGCGUGAAACUUGAAUACAUACCACUCACAUAAACAAGAAGUUUUCUUUCUUCGACGAGGCUACAAAAUUAAUAUUUUCCUUAAUAGAAUAUCAUAUACAUUGGUUGAUGAGCAAGGAGUGUGAAUAUUGUUAUUAUUAUCCUCCAAUGCCAAAGGGGCCAGGCUAUCAAAAUAUCAAGGAUGUAUACAUAUGAUAUGGCCCACGAGCCAUGACCAAAGAGCUGCAACUUGCUUGGUUAGUCCUCAGUUUCAAUCGAAUUAUUUUUGGUUUUUAAUGGCAGUUUUGUCUUUAAGCACUAAGCACUAGUAAGUGUGGACACCUGUAUAAACCUAAUCAAGCAAUUAGCUCGAGCAUUAUGCAAAUCAUAUCAACUAAUUAAAGCUUAAUUAUAUCUCCAAGUAAGUAGUUGUGUGGAGAAGGAGAAGAAGAAGACAAAACUGCCAUUAAAAACCCAAACUUGAACCACUUUGAACACUGUUUUGGUCCAAUUUCAAAGCAAAGAAGCUUCUGCGAGCAAUUCAGUCUUAGUAAUUUGGGUGGACAAUAUCUGCUACUUGCGACUUAUCUAAUUCAUUCAUCCUCGCAUAUAAUAAUACACAGAUUUAAUUCAUUUGAAUAUAUAUUAUCUUCACGUGGGAUCUAAUUUGGUUCUAUAAAACUAUCAUAAAUUGUGACCCUCCUUCCUCCGCUUCUUUUUAAAAUAUUUUUCUGUGGACCACAUGAUUUGUUUUCAAUAUCACGUAUAAACUUUAUUUUUAUCAUUAUAUCAAUAUUUAAAAAAGGUUACAAAUUCGAAUUCUCUUUUCUUUUCAAUAGAAACGAAUACCGCUAUCAUAUUGUUAGCCACAUACUAUGGUAAUUGGUGCGAUAAAAUAUGUAUCACUAUAAUUACAUGAUCAUGCAACGGCUUAAGCGGUUUAGUAUUCUGUCUAUGUCCACAGAGAGUACUUAAUAUUUAAACACAACUAACUAAUGAUAAUCCAUGGGCUGGCAGUACAUGAAUAUUAAUCUUUAAUUAAUUUUUAUUUGACAUUAUCCAUUCACAAAAGACGCUAGUAGCAAUAUUGUAAUUCGCAUGAAUGUUGAUAACCAUAAAUUUUGUCACGUGAUUCUCAAUUGCAACCGGUAAAAUUGAGGGUCAAAGUCCUGGCAGUCAAAAUCCAACCAAGUCAUUCAAGCCGCUUCCACGUCCUCUAGGAAACCUAAUUAAGCAUAAUAUUCAAUGGAAAAUCAUGAUUAGAAUUUGAUUAAGUGAGUUGUUUUAGUACGUAUGAUAUGGUUAGCUCAACUUGGCCACCUUUCAAGAACAGAGGUAAUGGGAAUAUUAGAAAUUCGAUCAGAUUCUCAUUUAACUAGACUUUUUUCAAGAAGGACUUGAAUUAUUUUUUUGGGUUAUCAUGAUCAUUGAAAUUUUACUAGUUCCUGCAAGUGUUGCACUGAUCAUGGAAAAGAUAUUGGGAUGACAUCGAAGGGUUUCCACCCUUAGGUCUAAUCUAACGGAGUUAGGAUUUGUGAAAUUAUGCUUUCUUGACUACAAGAGAAAAGAUAGAUAGAUUCAUCCAACACACUGCAUUUCAGACAUCCAUCUAAUCUGAUGACAAAAAGAUAGAUUCUUAAUUAAAGACGUCAAUGAGAAUAACUCAUGAUUAAAAGGUCGGGUACCACUAACAUACAUAAAUAUAAUGUGGACGGGGCUGGUACCAAAAUGACCGGGGCAUCGUCCUCUUCCUACCCCAGCCACCUCCCGCCGCCAGCCGCCGCGGAUUCGCCGGAAUUUGGAGAUGAAGCGGCCGAUGUCGUCCAAACUUCAAAGCCGCCGAUCUCCCUCCUCCGGCCACCAAUUCCGUCGACCCAGGUAUGGAUUUUGAACCUCUCGAGCUGCUCUAGCUGAUGGUUGGGUAGGAUUAGAUCGAUUCUUAGCGUAGCCAACUCGAUUUUCGAAUUGAAAAUCGGCCGAAACUUCGGCCGCUGUGAUCGGCCAUUUCCGGUCAGUUUUUGGGGUAGGUCCAAGAACAAAAGUGGCUCCAAAUAGGGUGUUCUACCUAGGGUAGGAGUUUGGAGCCGUGAUUUUGAGAUUUUCUGGUGAAGCGUUAUCGCUUUGGGCACCACGCGCUGCCGACGCGUGCGGCGGCGCGUGGGCAAGGUGGAAAAAGUAGCACUGUGUUCCGAUGAGAUCCUUAGGUUGUCACGAGUGUGUAGGAUUUCGCGGAUCUCAAUUCGGACGUCGUUUGACUAUCGAACGGAUAAUCGCAUAUUGUGCGUUAUCCGGGUUCGACAGGUUGGGACCGUUGGAUGGUCCUAAAUUUAAUAUAUGUUAAUCUAGGUAAUUCUAGGAUCGUGUAGGAAUUCACGGAUUGUGAAUCGGAGCCCCGGAUGUUCCGAAUAGUAAUUUUAAAGUUUAUAUUUUAUAUUAAUUGUCAGAUCGUGCGAUCGUGAACAAUCCGACCGUCCGAUCUGAACCAAACUCGCAGGACAAGUGUCCUAUACCUGGUAGAACCCAUAGGGACUUCCGGAUCGGAAAUUGGAGGUCGUGGGUUCCGCAGGCCCGUUUGACCAGGGUUAGAGUAGUUUGACCCUUGGUUGACCGUGAGCCACCCGGAGUAAUCUCACCUCUCCAGGGGAGAUUAUUGGGUGCUAGACUAUUGUGGAGGGUUACACAAUAUUAGAAUUAAUUUAUAUAAUUAUAAACAUAUAUUGUUGCACAAGGGUACAACAGAGUCUAGAAUGUCAGUUUGGAGUGCUAUACGCACUACUUUAGGUACCUCAUCGGAUUUUGGAUUCGCUACAAACACCAUCAAGUGAAGGUUAGGUCCCGCGUGGCGUAGGUUAUCCGGCGUUGGGACAGACCCCAUACGUGGCGUUGGUUGUACCGGCGUAUGGGGAGAUUUGCAAUAUGAUGUUCAGGUCUCACGUGGCGUAGGUUAUCCGACGUUGAGACAUGCCCCGUACGUGGCGUUGGUUGUACCGGCGUACGGGGAGAUUAUGUGAUAUGAUGUUGAGGUCCCGCGUGGCGUAGGUUAUCCGGCGUUGGGACAGGCCCCAUACGUGGCGUUGGUUGUACCGGCGUAUGGGGAGUUAUGUGAUAUGAUGUGCAGGUCUCACGUGGCGUAGGUUAUCCGGCGUUGAGACAGACCCCAUACGUGGCGUUGGUUGUACCGGCGUAUGAGGAGAUAUAAUGAUAGUAUGGCAUGGUCGCACGUGGCGUAGGUUAUCCGGCGUGUUGACAGGCCCCAUACGUGGCGUUGGUUGUACCGGCGUAUGAGGAGAAUAUGUGAAAUACAGAGAAAGGAAAUAAGGUAUCACCGAUGUGUGGAAUUAGAUUUUAGGGAAGAACUACGUGUGGCUUGAUCCCUCAAGGAGGGUACGUAGGCAGCCUAAGGUUAUUAGGUGCAGCCGCAGACUAAAUGUUAGUCAUAAUUUGUAUUUGAAUGGUUUGGUAGUUGGUUAAGAAUUAUUGGAAGGCCGAAGGCCAUUUGUGUGAAUUGCAUGAAAUUAUAUUGUGCAUGCUGCCAGUUGGGAAUAUUAAAUGCGUUUUUAUGCAGGUUGGAAUUUUGAAAAAUGUCCAAUUUAUAGGGGAGACUCUGCCGAAAUUUCGGCAGGACGUCUCGGUUUUUAGUAAGUGGGCCUGGCAUCGGGGUGAUGUCAGGAAUUGCAAAGGGUUCGUCUCGGGUUUUGAGAAAAUUCGGGGCGGGUCCUUAAAGCCGGAAUUGGUUUUUGGCUCCAAAAUCGUGCGACCAGUGGACAUUUCAUCGCGUAAAAUUAGAUGUCGGCUGCAUGUUGCUCGACGGGAUGUUCAAUUUGUGCGAUGCGAUUUGGCGUUUGCGCGACGAAAACUGAUGCAACGAAAAAAUAUUCAUCGUCGCCCUAAAGUUGGAUGUCGACGUGUACUUGCGCGACGAAAAGUUAGACUUGCGCGACGAAAGUGGGAGUUUUGCGCAACAAAAUAUGUUCUUUGCGCAACGAAGUAUCUAUUCGUCGCGCAAAAGUUAGUCUUCUUCAAAUCUGAGUUACGCCAUGGUAGAGGCAGAAAGCUGAGAAUUUCUGCCUCUGCUGCUGCUGCUUAUGCUAGGAAUUCACUACAUUUAGUAGGUGAGUAUAUUUUGUCAUUAGUUUGAGUGUAUUCAUGUAAAUUCAUACUAAUGCUAUUAAUUUCGUUCUUUGUAGAGAUAUUUUGUGUGAUUAGCGGUUGGUGGCACUACUACAAAAAAGAAAAAAGACGACGGUAAAUCACCGUCGUUGUUAAAAUAUACAACGUCAUCAACAAAUACAAAACGACGUCUUUGUACUGCAAAAAGAUUUAAAAAGCCAGUCGAGGAUGAGAAUAGACGACCAACUCUCUAAAAAAACCGUCGUUAAAAAGGAAAAAUUUGACACAUAUUAACAGAACAAGGCCGCAAGAUAGACAUACAACGACGAAAAUUAAAACAAGACGCCGUUAAAUAUCAUUUUCACGACAAUAAAAAAUAUGACGUCUUUAAAUACAUUAGAAGACGACGUUAUUGAUACCUACUACGUCGCCUAUAUAAAAACAACCGUCGUAAAAUAAAUUUUUCACUUCGAUUUUUCUAUAAAAGAUGACAUGGAAAUAGUUGUCAGUGUCAUUAUUUACGACGUAUGUAUUUAUAGAGUAGACGUUGAACAACGAAACAACGUCGGUUACAAAUAUAUGAGAGUCGUAUUACAAAAUUUAUACGUCCUAUUUUCAGAAACAAACAACGACGAUAAAUAUUAGACGUUGUUAAGUAAAACAACGUCGAAAACAAAUAAAAACAGACGUGUUUAGUCUGCUAAAGUUCUAAAAAAUAGUCGAGGAUGAGAAUAGACGACCAACUCAAACAAAUCAUCGUCGUUAAAAGGGAAAAAUAUGACACAUAUUAAAAGAACAAGGCCGCAAGAUAGACAUACAACGACGACAACUAAAACACUACGCCGUUAAAUACAAUUUUUACGACAAGAAAAAAUAUGACGUCUUUAAAUACAUGAGAAGACGACGUUAUUGAAAUCUACUACGUCUCUUAUUUACAAACAACCGUCGUGAAAUAAAUUUUUCACUUCGAUUUUUCUAAAAAAGAUGACGUGGAAAUAGUUGUCAGUGUCAUUAUUUACGACGUAUGUAUUUAUAUAGUUGACGUUGAAAUUCGAAACAACGUCGGUGGUAUUUAUAUAGUCGACGUUGUAUUUAUAUGUAUUCAUUACUCACGACGCACUUAUUAAUAUAGACGACGUUGAACUUCUAAACAACGUCGGUUCCAAAUAAAUGAGAGCCGUAUUACAGAACAUAUAGACGGCAUUGAUUAUGAUGAGAGCCGUAUUACAAAUAACGUCGUUUAAUUGAUAUUAGACGGCGGUUAUAAUGAAUUACCGUCGGAAUUCAUUUCGUUCCUCUUCGUUUAUAAAAGAACUUGCGACGUGGAAAAUGUAUGAUGACGUCGUAUUUUUUAACGUUCAGAUUAUAUAUCUCGUUUUUUAGACGUCGGUAUUAUGGGAUUGGAGUCGUGUUAUUUUGAAUUACAUGGCGGUUCUUAAUCCUUCCCCGACGUGAUAUCCUGAAUAAUUGCUUCACAAUAGCGUCGUGGUUCUUCAUUGUUACGUUGCUUUAAGACGUCGGUAAAUAUGCUGAAUAACUGGUUCACAAUAACGUCGUGUUUUAUUUGAACGUAGAAAGUGAAGAAAUCACAUUACAAUAUAUUACAAAAUUAAUGUCAUACACUGCCAAUUACAUAAGCAUCAUUCAAUCCAUAUAUCUUCACACCCAUCUCGAAUAUUUUGACCACCUAACUCACCCACCAGUUUAUCAAAUGUGUCAACAUUUGGCAUCCCUCUAGUAAAUGGCUCACACUCAAUUAUCACAUCACCUAAGACUUCAUCACCAAUAACAUCAUUAUAUUCUCUAUUAGGCAUUGAUAACACUACCGACCAACCACGAUGCAUCGGGUCGUCAACAAAAAAUAUUUGUUUGACUUGAGAAGCCAAAACAAAUUGGUCAUUCCUAUGUCCAAUUUUACUCAAAUCUACAAGGGUAAAUCCAAGUUCGUCGACUACAAGACCAGAACUAUCUAUCCAAUCACACCUAAAGACUGGGAUUGUAAACUUUUGGUAGUCAAGGUCCCAAAUUUCUUAAAUGACACCAUAGAAACCCAUAUUUGAGAGAAUUGAGUUUUUAUCCUUGGCACUAGCAACUUGCAUGGUAUGUGCAAGUAAAUAAACUCCACUAUUUUGAGUUGUCCGGACAUCAUCUUGUGCCUUGAUAUUGAAUUUAAUACCUUUAAUAAGAUAGCUCCUAUAUAAUGGCACUGCCAUGUUUGGACCAGCUGCUAGCCACCUAAAUUUUCUGAUACGCCAUGAUUGUCUUCCUCAAGUUCACUUUGAACCUGCAAUUAAUCAUAUCUUAUUUCAUCUAACAUAGAAAUAGAGAAAUUAAAGAGAAAUAUGUUAUUCAACACAUUUACCUUGAAGCAUAGCCAUUGAUGAAAGUGCUAUUGUGCUUCNNNNNNNNNNNNNNNNNNNNNNNNNNNNNNNNNNNNNNNNNNNNNNNNNNNNNNNNNNNNNNNNNNNNNNNNNNNNNNNNNNNNNNNNNNNNNNNNNNNNUUUUGCAACUAGAAUUCGAUGUCCGUGCAGGAGGUAUAACAACACGUUGUGGGAGACAAUUGAAAAUGUUCGAUUUCAUUUAGUAAGAAGUGGAAUGAUUGAGACAUAUAGCACUUGAAACUAUCAUGGGGAACAAUUAGACAAAGCUUCCUCUUCAAGGGCCACAAGAGUGGACAAUGUUGAACCUAUUUUGGAUUCUAAUGAACAAGUCAUGGAUAUUAUAAAUGAUGCUUUUCCAUUUGCAUUGACCAACAUCAAUCAAGAAGAGGAAGAUGACAUGUCUACACCAAUGGACAGUGCGGAGUUCGAACAGUAUGAAAAACUGUUAAAAAAUGCAAAUCAAGAGUUAUACUCGGCGUGCGAGAGUUUUUUCGUUCUUAUGGCCAUUGUGGAGCUAAUGCAAGGAAAAAUAAAGUAUCAUAUGUCGAACCAAUGUUUCGAUUACUUUUUGGGCCUUUUCAAGAGAAUGCUUCCGACGGACAAUUGUUUGCCGAAAAACCAUAGACACCCGCAGAAGGUCUUGAAUGGCCUUGGAUUGAGUUAUGAAAAAAUGUACGCAUGCAAAAAUAAUUGCAUGUUAUUCUACAAAGAGCAUGAAACAUUGGAUAUAUGCCCUAUAUGCAAUGAGUCGAGGUUCAAAAUGACUUCUCAUAAUAGAAUGACUAAGAUCCCACAAAAAGUUAUGCGUUAUCUGUCCCUAAAACCAAGGUUGCAACGAUUGUAUAUGUCAACGCAUACUGCCACAGAUAUGAGAUGGCAUAAGGAAAAACGGGUAGACAACGAUGUGAUGCGACAUCCUGCAGAUGGGGAGGUAUGGAAAGAGUUUGAUCGAACGUUCCUCGAGUUUGCUGCUGAUUCCCGAAAUGUUAGAUUGGGACUUGCCACUGACGGAUUCAAUCUGUACGGGGUUCUAAACCAACACCACAGCACUUGACCGAUUUUCGUAUUCCCAUAUAAUUUGCUGCCUUGAAAAUAUAUUAAAAAAGAAUACAUGAUGAUGACUGUUUUGAUAACUGAGGAUCCUGGCAGGUCAAUCGAUAUGUACUUAAGGCCGUUGGUUGAUGAGCUGAAGGAUUUAUGGACAAACGGUGUGCGCACGUUCGAUAAAUCGACUGGGAAGAUGUUCACUUUAUGGGCAAUAGUUAUGUGGACUGUGAAUGAUUUUCCCGCAUAUGCAAUGGUUUCUGGAUGGAGCACAAAGGGUUAUAUGGCAUUCUCUGUAUGCAAGGAAGAUGUAUGCCCAGCUGUCCUCUCGUCCCUCCAACUCCUUCGGAUGGUGGUGCAGGUCGCUCUUCCAUUGCUUGUACCUCUCAGCAAAGGGUCUGUUGACGUACGCUAUCGACUUAUCAUCGAGGUCCUCUACAUUGUAGUUCGUCUGCAAUUUAUUAAUUACAUACAUUAAGUAAUAGAAAUAUAGAAAGUUUGAACUUACAAAACAUUUAAAAGGUAGGAUACAUACCGACAACUGUCCGAGCACCUCCGUCCGCAUCUCCUCAGACAUGAACUUCCAAGACUUCCAUUGCAUAGGGCAAUAGGUCCGAACGACGUGCCCAACGUCGUGGGCCAAAGAUCUAUGCAAUUCAGCCGUUGGUGCAACUGAUGCCGCACGUCGUAUCCGAUGCUAAUACGACUGUUGGUCACUAGGGUGACCUUCGCCGUCUUCAACUGCCGACAAGGUCCACGGGUGUUCUUCUUGGCUGUAAAGAAAUAGAAAGUAUACUGUUAAUAGUAAUCAUACAAAAAUGUUGGACAACAACAGAUGGAGUCAAGGCAAUCUUUACCUGGCUGUGAUCUGACGCACAAGUACGUCUAUCGAUGCUGUGUCACUCAUGCUGGGGGGCGGUGACGACGUUUGGCACGAAGAGGUUGCGCCACAGAUGAUGCAGAUGACGCCGAGGGAUCACGAGGCAACUGCUCCAUCUGUGAUGGAGCAGUGAUAGCAGCAGGCUGAGCCGGAGGAGGCGAACUUUGUCCAGUGGUCACCGCCUUACUGCUUCGAAUAAGGUUUGACAUCUUGGCCAAGGAAAAACAUGUAACAUUUAAUAAUGUUUUAGGCAAAGCAUGUAACGUAGUUAAUCUAAUUGGGUUAACAUGUAACGAAAUAAAAAUAAAUAUUGAAACAACUAAUAAAACAAAAACAUAUCAUAAUUAUUAACAAACAUAAUUUUUUUUUUUUCCAAUUUAACAAUCUUAACUAAUUUUAAUUAAAGCAUAUCUUGUCUGGGGGUUAGCAAUUCCGGAGUAUCCGGGAUUCCGAUCGAAAAUCAAUCGAAUCCAAUACGAUCCUAGAAAUACAUGGAACAACAUGCGUGAUUUUUAGUUUGAUCCAACGGUCCGAACACAUCAAACCCGAAAAUUGCAUAAUAGGCGAAAUCUACUCUACACUGAAACGGUAACCAAAUUGAAAUCCUAACACACCUACGCGCUCGUGACAACUAGGGGAUCGCAGUGGGACACAAUGUCCCUCUGCUACAGUACCCACGCCCCGCCACAUGCGUCGGCAACGCAUGGAGUCCAAAGCGAUAAGGAUCGCAGGAAAUUUCACAAAAUUACAGACCAAGCUUCCUACCCUAGGUUCAAAACAACAAUUGGAGCCACUCUGGUUCUUGGGCCUACCCCGAAAAAUGGCCGGAAGUGGCCGGAAAUUCAAAUAAAAAAUUGGCUGAUUUAUUUUCUACAAAUUCACAUACCAAAACCAAAAAUUCAUAAAACCCUAUCCAACCAUCAGCUAGAGCACAAAAUUUAGUCGAGAAUGCAUACCUCAAUCGUCUAGUUUCGUGGCCAGAGGAGAGAGAAAUUGCCCAACGAAAAUCUGCCCAAUUCCGACGGUGUUGCGGCGGCGGAAGCGGUGUGCUUCGAAGGGGUGGUCGGCGGAAGGGCUAUGUGUGGGUUGAGGAGGCAGGACGUGGCGGUUAUGGUGGGAGGGCUAUCGGGAGAAAGAGGGAGGCGAAGGAAGGAGAUAGACCAAACCAGGGGUCAGUCGUGUUUUUCAGAAAAUUUACAAGCCUUUGAGCGACGAAGACUUAAACCGUCGUGCAACAUAUAUUUUUCUAACCCUUACGCGACAAUAAAGCUAAAACCGUUGCGCAAAAACGUCGUGCCACUCAAAAUUUUGGACCCUUGCGUGAUGAGAAAGGUGAAACUGUCGCGCAAGGCCGUCACCCUGCCCAAAAUUUCACACCUUUGCGUGACAAAAAACACAAACCGUCGCGCAAGGACGUCUGGCCGCCCAAAAUUUCAGCCCCUUGCGCGACAAAAAAAACCCAAAUCGUCGCUCAAGGACCCAAAACCCAAAAAAUUUCAGCCCCUUGCACGACAAAAAAACCCAAACCGUCGUGCAAGGACCCUAAACCCUAAAAAUUUCAGCCCCUUGCGCGACGGUUAAGCAUGAACUGUCGCGCAAGGACGUCAUGACGUUCCAAAUUUCAGACCCUUGCGCGACGACAAUUUAUCCGUCACGCAAAACGGAAACCCUGAUCCGUGAACCCUAAACCCUAAAGCCACAGUUAUACCAGAUAGCGACGAAGCUUCCGUCGUCGCAUAAAGAUAUGCGCAACGAAUAAAUUCUUUCGUCCCGCAAAACAAAUAUGCGCGACAGUUUUCUCCAUUCCACUAACGUGUGCGCGACAAUUUGCCCCGUUCGUCACGCAAAAUUUUUUUAAAAUCAUAUUACUGAAUUCCCUUUUAAAUGGAAAAAAAGUGGAUGUUCCUUGCCAUUAUUUUGAAAAAAUGAUUAGAAUGUGGAUCAUAAGGUCUGAAUUGAAUUAGGAUUGACCAUUUUCAAUUUAACAAAGACUUAAUUACUCAUCCACAACAUAGCCGGUAUAUUAUGUAUACGUAUCAAGUUAGAGUACAUUAACUUGUACAAACUCACCACAAUGUCAAUGAGGCAUAUUGUUUAUAUAAGUAUUGCUAUAUACGUAUAUUUCCUCCAUGUACACACAUACAUUAUAUAGAUGGCAUGCACAUAUAUAUAUUUAUAUAAAAAAAACCUUCAUACUUAUAUAUACAUUAUAUAUUUAUAUUUAUAUAAUUGUAUAACAUAUAAAUUUUAUAAAAUCGUAUUAAUAAAUUCCCAUAAAUAUUUAUAUAUUCUUAUAUUUCUAUACACACGAAAUAUAUAUAUAUAUAUACACACACAUAUACAGUGUAUAUUAUAACUUAGUAUAAUGUAUUAUAUACUUUGUCUAUAUUUAUAUAUAUAUAUAUAUUUGUGCGACGACACAUGUAUUGGUCACGUUAACAUCUCUUGCGCGACGAAAUAAUCCUAUUUGUCGUGUGAAGGUUCCUUGAGCGACAAUACAAAUUUAUUAUACAUUCUCGAUGAGGGUCUUGCACAUCAUAAAACUAACCAAUAUAUUACUUAGUUGGGAUUUGAUAUUACAUAAGCAUGGAUGCGAGAGAAUUUUGAACAUGCUCAAUCACCUAUAAGAGACGGAACAACUACUUGUCCAUACAUAUUGACAUGAGCAGUAAUUUCUUACUAAUAUUGUAGUAUGAUAUACUAUAAGUAAUUGGUCAGACAAGUGCAGUGAAAUGAGUUGCCAACAACUCUUAUUUAUAGCAACUAGCCCAUACUAAACAAGUUUAUACGAAUAGUUUAUUAUGGUCGUGUGAUGGUGGUCGACUUCUUGGAGGGGAUUGUGGAUAAAUUCUUCGAUGGGGUGGUGGCAUACUUCUUGGAGGCGGACUUCUUGGAGGGGGAGGUGGGGGACUUCUUAGAGAUGAUGGUGGCGGANNNNNNNNNNNNNNNNNNNNNNNNNNNNNNNNNNNNNNNNNNNNNNNNNNNNNNNNNNNNNNNNNNNNNNNNNNNNNNNNNNNNNNNNNNNNNNNNNNNNNNNNNNNNNNNNNNNNNNNNNNNNNNNNNNNNNNNNNNNNNNNNNNNNNNNNNNNNNNNNNNNNNNNNNNNNNNNNNNNNNNNNNNNNNNNNNNNNNNNNNNNNNNNNNNNNNNNNNNNNNNNNNNNNNNNNNNNNNNNNNNNNNNNNNNNNNNNNNNNNNNNNNNNNNNNNNNNNNNNNNNNNNNNNNNNNNNNNNNNNNNNNNNNNNNNNNNNNNNNNNNNNNNNNNNNNNNNNNNNNNNNNNNNNNNNNNNNNNNNNNNNNNNNNNNNNNNNNNNNNNNNNNNNNNNNNNNNNNNNNNNNNNNNNNNNNNNNNNNNNNNNNNNNNNNNNNNNNNNNNNNNNACGAUUGUUGGGUGGUGGUGGUGGUGGUGGAUUACUUGGAGGGGGUGGAGGCGAUUUGUUGGGUGGUGGCGGAUUGUUUGGUGGUGGUGGUGGUCUUAGAAAAAUAGGGGGUAGUAUCAAUGUAAUAGCACUAUUAGGUAUAGUACUAGUAGGUGGCUUGAGUUGCUCAUGAUGUUCUUCAGCAAGACAUGAAGUGAUGAGAACCACCACUCCCAGCAAUAGCACAAGAAAUUUUAAGUAACUCAUCUUUGAGCUUAUGAAGUUACAAAGAUCAUAUGGAGCAUCCUUUUAUAGUGGUAUGGGUGAUUGGUAAUUGUAUUUAUAAUUUUGCUAAAUAGGGUGGUUGGUGAUUGUUAUAGAUUAGAGGUCCAUGCAACAUUAAUUGAGAUCAUAAGUUGGAGAAUUUGGGCAGUUGCUUGUUUGAUAUAUGCUAGAGAACGUUCAAAAUGUAAUGCAUAUUGGUUUUUUAUUUAUUUAUUUAUUUAUUUAUAGUAUAAGUGAUAUUAUAAACUACAGGAGAAUGAGAUUUCUCUUAUAUACACACAACUACGAUGUAGGAUUUAAAUAGAAAAACUCAUACUCUUAUCAUUGAGCUAUGAACUAGCAGAUAUUAAAUCUUACUCGUGUCAAAAGAGUUUAGGCUAAUUGCCCACUCUGAAAUGAAUGAGAAUGAGGGAGAUAAAAUUGUCAUAAAAGGACAGAACAAAAUAAUACAUAAGUUUUCUAAAAAUAAUAAUACAUAAUUUUUUAACAAAAAUAGCAACGGGCAUCCUUUUUUCUUCUUCUUUGGUUUGGUCCUCCCGUUCUAUUCACGGCAAUACCACUGAGGUGAUUGAGAAAUAGGCAUUGACAAUAAUACAUAAAUUUAAAGUCUAAACUCCAAGCUUAGCUUAGGGUUAAGUAUCCAAUAUUAAAGUUUAUGUCUUCCCUUGUGCUGCUGGUAGUAUUCAUCCACUCUUCAAAAUAUAGGAAGUAGAGUUGGGGGUUUGGCAUGAUGAGGUGGUGGUGGUGGUCUCACUAUAGGGGUUGUGUGGUCAUCAAAACCCUUUUAAUUUCCACCAAAACCCUGAGAUUGACUUUGUUGGAAAAUUUAAUAUUAACUAAUAUUGAUUUUCCUAUUUGAAUGGAAAUUAAUAAAAUUUAUUGGGUUAAAGACAUGACUCUUGGGUUAAAGACAUGACUCUUGGGUUAAAGACAUCUUCACAUGGGAGGUGACAACUUUUCAGACCAAGGGAUGCAUUGUUUGCCUUUUCAGAUUGAGAUACCUUUUUAGAAAGGGUAUUUCAUCAUCUAUAAAUAGAGCAAUCCUCCUGCAGUUUUAUUCAUUCAUGUUAAUUCUCUACAUACAGACUUUCACAUAUAGAAAGCAUUAGAGUUUUCAUAAAGAGAGGUUCCUGCAUAAUUUGGUUCAAAGUUCCUUGUGAAUUGCAGUGCUUCUUUCACAAGGAGGGGAGUCGUUGUAUCCUGAGAGGUGAACGCUAGUGAACCAUAAGCACCGUUGUGGGGCGUAAUUCGUCUUAAGGUCAAAGUGUCCAACACUUGCUUCGACUCAAUCAAGGUUCUUCUAAUUCAAUUCUCCUUUUGUAAAAAUCUAUUUUAUGUGCAGUAUUUAUUUUGUUUAUUUAUAGCAAUUUAGCACUCAUAUUUCCAACAGACUUGAUUGCCCUUCAAAAAGAAGAUUUCUCUGUAAUCCAUGUGAUAUUUGUGUGAUGAACUAACUCUUAGUCGAGUAGUAUUUAUUUUCCUAAUACAAAAAGAUGCGUCGAAUUGAAACCCUGUUCCUCUUAAUUUCCCCCUCAAACAGUUUGAGGGUAAAGUUAGUCUUAUGAUAUUAUGACUGUAGAGAGCUAGAACCAAGCAAAACAUUUUGUAUAUCUUUUCCUGUUUCUGGGUUUUAGGUUUAGCCCUUCCUUUUUUGGUUCGUUAGGCUCUUGGUUUCCUUUUAUUUUUUGGGCCGACGGAUUGAAUGUCAAAACCCAAAAUAUGUAAGUUCCAUAUACAUUUUCCAAACGAAUCUUAUGAUCUAAAUUGAAGAAUUUUAUGAUCUAAAAUUGUUGGUCGUAGGUAUUUUAUGGUUGGAGCCCUUCUGUUGUUCUUUGGGCUCAAGUUUAUUUACUUAUUUUGGGCUAUUUAUGACUUUUUGGGUCCCUUUCAAUUGAAGGGUCACUCUCAAAUAGAACAUAUUAUUGCUGGAAAUAGUUUUGCUCGUGAAAAAUAAAGAAAUUCGGUUUGCUGGAAAUAGCCAUUGACAAUAAUACAUUUUAAAGUCUUAAACUCUAAACUUAGCUUCGGUUAAAUAUUCCAUUAAUGGCAGAAUGUUAAGGCUAAAAGUGUAGGAAUGCCAGCCAAAGGGUAUUAUUAACUAGGGCUGGCAAUGGGUCGUGUCGUGUCGGGUUCGUGUCGUGUCGGGAUAAUAAACGUGUCAAGAAUGCUCAACCCGAACCCAACCCAUUUAAUAAACGUGUCGUGUCGGGUUCGGGUCGUCUUUUAUCGUGCGGGUUUCGAGUCGUGUAACGGGUUCAUAAAGAAUAACAUGCAUGUUACAAAACUCACAACCGAAAAAAUUUUAAUUAAAAAAAACAGAGAGAGUGGAGAAAAUAUAAGGAAAAGAAAGAAAGAAAAAAGAUAGAGAGAGGAGAGAAGAGAGAAGGAAAAGAAAGAAAAAAAAAUAGAGAGAGAGAGGGGGAGAGAGAGAGAGAGAGGAGAGAAGAGAGAAGGAAAAGAAAGAAAAAAAAAUAGAGAGAGAGAGGGGGAGAGAGAGAGAGAGAGGAGAGAAGAUUGAAGGAAAGAAAGAAAGAAAAAAGAGAGAUGAGAGAAAACUAAAGAGAAGGAAAAAAAAAGAAAAAAAAAAGGAGAGAAGAGGAAAGGAAAAGAGAAGAAAAAAAAAAGAGAGAGGAGAAGAAAGAAGGAAAAAAAAGAAAAAAAAAAUGGAGAAGAGAGACGGAAAAGAAAGGAAAACUCAAAAGAAAAAGAAACAUUAUAAAUAUCAAAAGGCAUACCAUAAAAUCACAAAGUUAGUUGUAGCAUGGUGGAUAAGUUGUUUGAGAAAAUGAGGAUGGGAGGGGUUCGAAACCCCUUGUGUGUGUGUUGAAGUCUCCAUUUGUCUUUAUUUUUUAGCGGGUUAGAGGGUUGUACACGGGUUGACACGACCCGUGACACGACCCGUUUAAUAAACGGGUUAGAUAGGUAUUAUAGCGGGUUAGCGGGUUGACUCGAAACCCACCCGUUUAUUAAACGGGUCAGAACGGGUUGACCCGAAAUUGACCUGUUUUUUUAUUGUGCGGGUUGAACCCGCUAAUUUCUCGUGCGGGUUUCGAGUCGUGUAUCGGGUCGUAUCCGAAAUUGCCACCCCUAUUAUUAACUGCGUCCAAGAAGCAUACUAAUAUCUUCUUUAUACGUCUGUGAGUCAUUAGUGAAUCUUAAUUGGUAUCAUGCUUUAUGCAUGGUUACUUACUUUGAUAUUCAAGGAGUAGAAGAAAUAAAUUUAUUGUGGUGUGGUAAUUUAAAUCAUGAAUAUAUAUAUAUAUAUAUAUGCAUGGAGCUUCCGUUAAGCGAUUCCUUAAAUAAGUUUAUUUGAGAUACACUCUUGUAGGGCCCACCAUACAUUGUAAUUCAUUAAUCCCAAUCAUCUUUGAAAAAAAUCACUUGAAUCCGAUAUCAUUUGAUCACUCAAUUAAAUUAUUGAAAUUUUAAUAAUUUCUUGACGCACCGUGUUCAUUGAUUUUGUAGGACACAAUUAGAUGUCUAAAUGGUUUCUGAUUUAUGUAAUUUUUUGCAAAGAUGAUUUAUAAAUGAAGAUUUCAAAAAUAGAUGGUUUGGAUUGUUAGAAAAAUAUUCGUAGGAUACCCUAAAGGUUCUACUUGAAAUAAAAUUAUUUGAGGGAUCUCUCAAUAGAAGGAUUGAAACACCUGAUUUGCACUAUCUCUGGAGCAAGACUAUUACAACUUGUUAAUUCAAAUUCAACAGAUUUACGCUAUAUACAUAAUUGUAAUCGUAAUCAUAUGAUUCAAACUUGAAACCCCAUUCAACUAAGUGAAUACAGCUACCCAUAAAAUCAUAAACUAGUUGAUACCAUAAUUAUUUAAUAUAAACAAAUUUUGAAUCCGUAUUUUCUGUUUAGUACCGUGCCUUUAUGCUGCUUUGUUCAUAUACUUGUAGUCUGCUAGUGAUGAAAAUGUUUGAGAUUAAAUUUAUUGAAGAUUUCCUGAUUUUGCUAGUUCUGUUUGCCAACCGAUUAUAAUUCUUUGUAUGUUCUGAAACCUUUGUUCAACAUGGUGGGUUUUAUAAUUUAGAAUAGAAGCUUAAAUUUUAUGAAUAAAACUUACUCACUUGGGAAAUAAUUGUUUUUUAAACAAAGAGAAUCUGAACAUAUGCUCCCUCGGAUACAAAGCAAAUUAGAACACCAACUUGUCCAAACAUAAUGAUGAUGACAUGAGCAUUGGUUACAAACACUAAUAAUUAGUUUAUGGUCAUUAAUUUGGAUGAAUAUGUGGUGUUGAGUUUGGGGUGUGGGGUUGUCUUGUAGUAUGGGGGCAGCUUCUAAUUAUAUAUGGAGCUGGAGUGAAUUUAAUAUAUAUCUUUCCCUGUGCUGGUAGGAUUCAGGACUCUUCAGUAUAGGAGGUAGAGUUGGGGGUUUGGCAUGAUGAGGUUGUGGUCUCACAAUGGGAGGUGAAGAACUUGGUGCUUUUUUUAAUAUAAUAUAAUUAUAAAUUAAUUUAAUUUACGGAGAAGGGAAUUUGAGCUUCAGUGCAGGAGGGGCCGGCUUACUAUCCUAGCCAAUUGGCUUACAUCUGUAAAGAACUUAUUGAUUUGACAGGUGGCUCUACUAUGAGAAAAACUUAUAUGAAACAGGGAUAUCACGGUUUUGCUAUCCCUAACCAAUUAUGCUAUGCCAAGUGGAAAAGUUAUCACGUGUGGCAUAGCAUGAUUGAUAGAGGAUAGCAAACCAGUGCUAUACCCAUUGCACAUAAGCAAGGUCUAAAAUAUCGAGAAAAUAUUGGACUCGUUCAAGGUUAAAGAAAACUUAAAAAACAUUAGCCUCUCUCUCUCUCUCUCUCUCUCUCUCUCUCUCUCUCUCUCUCUCUCUCUCCUUGCCGACAACCAACCUUUCUUAAGCUAGGGGAGGUGUCCACUGCCGCUCCUCCCCUCUGCCCAUCUUCUCCAUUCCUAUCCUCUCUCCCAUCUUUUUCCAUUCCUCUCAUCUUUUUUCUCCCUCUUUCCACUUUCCUUAGGGCUCUUGCUGGCCCUUAUCUCCCAUUCCUCUUCUCCUCUCUAGAUAUACUUAGAUCUUGGGCUUUUAGCCUUGAUUUAUUUGGAUCUAGGUAUGUUUGUGUGUUUUUUUUGUUUGGCUAUUUUUGCACUGUUCUAGGUGGCUGGUGUUGUCUUCAUCUCGGUGGCUACAUGUAACAUCCCACAUCGACUUACGAAGAGGGGAUGAUGUGACUUAUAUGUACAUGCUCACCUCCAUCUAGCACGAGGCCUUUUGGGAGCUCACUGGCUUCGGAGUCAUGAGAACUUCGAAGUUAAGCGAGUUUGGGCUAGAGUAAUCUCAGGAUGGGUGACCCAUUGGGAAGUUGCUCAUAAGUUCCCAGAAACAAAAAUCGUAAAGGCAGGGGGCCCAAAGCGGACAAUAUCGUGCUACGACCGAGCCGAUCAGGAAUGUGACACUGCAACAGUAGUGACGCUGGAUUGGGUCUCUCUCUUUAGGAGAGUUGGGAUACUUGGUGACUAAUAUUUUGUCUUUGUUUCAACGAUCGCGGCAGCAUCGACGCUGGUUGUAGUUGUUGGCAUGUGGUGGUGUGCCCUCUGAGGGGUUUCGUCUUCUGUUUUAGCAUAUGUUUUGUUGUCAUUUUCCAUUGUUUUGUUGCUCAUUUGCAGCUUGUCUCUACUCUGUGCAGCCCAAAGACCUAUGUUUGGUCAUAUGAGUUCCUUUGUCAUGUUCUAAGUUGAGUUGGAGUGCUUUUAAGAGGCCUCUCUUAUUAUUAUUUCAUGCUCUUCAACUGUGUGCUUUCUUGGGUUUCUGUCAUUUGUGUGUUUUUGUAGUUCGUAGGCAGUUAAAUGACUAUGAGUUUAUCUCAUAAAAGGCUUCUUUUGACAAUUGGGAUGCGAUGCGGUUCUCUUUAUGGGUCUAUUGUGUUAGUGUUUAAUUGAUUUUUUUUUUUCUGUUCUUGUAAUGGUCUUUUGUGGUUCAGGUCUUAGUCCUUGGCAUGUGUAGUACUCUUUCCUAUCCUAGGGUUUGUCUAAAGUGGUUUUCCUAAUAAGGUUUUAAUUAGGCUAUUGUAUUCAUACUAGUCUUUGUAUGCCGUUUUGGCUUAUUAAUGAAAUCUUCUUCUAUAAAAAAAGGUCUAAAAUAUCAAGGGUUUAGGAAAUAUCGGAGGUCCAAAAAUACGGAAAUAUUGGGAAAUUAUCGAUAUCGAGAAAAAUUGAAUAAAAACCACUGAAACUGUAAGAAAAUUUUGAUUCAAACUUUAGAGGUUGUUUAUUUUGUCAAUUAUCUAUUAUUUUGAUUUAUUUAAGUUGAUUAUAUAGCGAGCUAACAAACAAUAUGAGUGCAGAAAAUAUGUAGUAAUUAAUGAAAAAAAUUAAAUGCCCAUAAUCAUUUAUUCAUAAUGAUUUACUAUAAUAUUUUACACUUUAUAUAUUGCAUGGUAAGAUGCACAAGUGACUUAGUACCACAUAGAGUUCCUAUGAGGUUCAAAAUUUUCAUUGUCUUCAUCGUCUCUAUGUGUAGAGUACGUGUACUAUGAAGAGUAGUCAUCAAAUGGUAAAUUCCCAAAAUAGCUUUGCAUGUAAUUGUUAACAUGUCACCCAUAAAGAUCCAAGAUUGGUUGACGUUGCCCAUAAGCAAAAUCAUUUGAAGAUUGGGCAUCAGAUUCUUUUCAUGAGCCGCUUGAUUCUAUCCCAAAAGGCAUGGGAUACGAAGCAUAAGGAAAGAGUUGGUUUUGCAUAUAAUAAAGUCAUUAGCAGUGUGGAGGAUAAGGCAUUGGAGGAAGAAUUGAAGUGGCACGGGUUCGAAUCCCCAUGCUUACACGCGUACAAGCCUUUUCAAUUUUUUUUUUUCUAUUCCAUGUCCAUAUUGCAUUAUUAUCACUAUUAUCACGAUAUUUUGAGCAAAUGUUGAUGUUAAUUGAAGGAUAUUAUUAGUGUCGAAAUUUUCCCAAAAUUUUCACGAUAUUAUCUAUAUAUAUAAAGCAAAAGGCAGAGAAUGGUGAAACAUUCAAAAUACCAGAAAAUGCCCUUGGUUAAUACAAACAUUAAGAAUUGAAAUUAUUAAUUAAAUGAGGAUAAUAUGGUAAAUUCAUAAUUUUUCGUAUUAAAAAAAUUAAAAUUAAAAGAAAAUUCAGAUAAUAGGUCCUAUUUUUAUGGAACACAAAUAUCCAUUAUCUUUUUUAAUUCUAAAAUAAAUUUAAAUUUUUUUUAAAAAAAACCUCUCGCAUGCGCGGAAGCGCGUGUAGAGAGGCUAGUCUAUAUUUAUAUGAUAAGUACACAGAUCUGUUCCAAAAUAUCCCCUUGCCGAAAAACGAUAAUAUCCUCAAUAUUUCAGCGAUAUUAUCGAUAUUUCAGUCCUUGCACACAAUUAAGUUUCUCCUCUACUAUAGCACAAUCUCCAAACAAUAGCACACGCAACUUUGAGAAACUUUUGAAAGCAAUUUUCCAUCAAAAUCCUGAUAUUGAUUUGAUUGCCCUCCACAAGAAAACAUUCUAUGUAAUCAAUUUGACACGUGUGAUCAUAUUGCCCUUAAUAUAUUAGUACUUUUUUUCUUCUUCUGAAAACAAGAAGAGGUUUCAAAUUUAAAUCCCUUUUCCGUUAAUUUUUUUUUAAAAAUGAUGUUGGUGUAGUGCCUAUUAAAGAUGGCUUGGCGGUAAAGUUAGUCUAAUGAGAUUCUAAGAUAUAGAUGGAUUGUUUAGUUCAAGAUUUAGGAGCUUAGUAAUUGGUAUGAAAUUGCAUUCCCAUAUUUGGUAAAUGCAUUUUUUAGAAUGCAAUACCUAACUCAUUAGUAUGAAAUUCUCAUGUAGAGAGAAUUUCAUACCUUUAGUGCUCCUUGGGAAACUCUUCGUCUAUUGACCCUUAAAAUAGGGUCUAGUCUAGUGGAAAAGAGCAUUGACUUGCAGGUCAGUUGUCUCAUGUUUGAAUCUAGAUGGCACUUUGGAUGUGAGAAACCCUUUUGUAGGACUUAGACUAUCAAUAAUAUUAAAAUAAUACUAAUAAUAACUCAAGGGUGUUACUGAAAAACUGAAAAACUGAAAACUGAAAAACUUUUCAUUUAUAAUACUACACGAACCACACAUAGGAAUGCGAGAAAAUGGCUUUUCCUAAUUCUCACUUCCCAGCGUUCCCAAUCAUGGGAAUGAACAUCCGUCAUUCCCAUAUCGUAGGAUUAGACAUGGAAAUUUCAUUCCCAUGAAAUUUGCAAACCAAACGGGACAGAGAGUUGGAACAAUGCAAAGAUUUUGUUUAUCUUUUGGUUGGGCCAAUAAGUUUCUGGGCCUCCAUUUAUUGUAUCUGGGCCGUUAGAUUUCGGCCUCCCUGUUCUGUUUGUAACCCAGCGGAGGUUGGAGCGCUUUUCUUGUUCUUUGGGCUUAGUUAUAUUUCCUUGUUCUUUGGGCUAUUUCUAAAUUAUUUGGGUUGUGCCUUUUUCUGCGUUUGACGUCGUUUAAUGUUUAAUUUGUUUGAUUUUUGAGUUGGAGCUGGUUGGGUCCUUCUCAUUUGAAGGUAGGGUCAGUCUCAAAUGGAAAAUAUUAUUGCUUGAUGUGAAAAAUAAAGAAAUUCGGUUUUGUGGGCUUAUGGCCUAAAUUAAUUGAGGAAUAAUGCCAUUCAAAAGACUGAAUUAACAUGACCCACAUUUUUCCAUCCUGGAAAACUUGUUCCUUAAGCAGAUCAUGGCUACUGAUGAAGUAAAGAAGAAAGGGAUGCUUAAAAAGAGAUAUAUAUAUAUAUAUAUCAAAUGAGCCAAGAAUUAAUGAAAUUUUGUAAAACUGAGAUUACUGAAUUACUUGAAAAAGGAAUAAUCUGUAAGAUUAGUCACCCUGGUCUUGUCCUGCUUUCUAUGUCCAGAAAAAUGCUGAAUUAGAACGCGGAGUCCUAAGAUUAGUCAACCCAAGUGGCUGGUUUAGAUUUUCUGAGUCAAAAGAGUCUUUGAGCACAGCUUCAAGAAAGUCACUCCAGUUGAAUUAUGAGAUUCCUAAAGCCCAUGUCUGUCAAAAUAAAAUCUGUUUUAAGACUUCUUUUGUCUUAGUUAAGAACAUUACUGAUGAAGUCAUCCUAGGUUUAUCCUUUAUUGCCCUUUUAUAUCCUUUCCAGGUAGAACACGAUGGAGUCAUUUCCACCUGUUUAGGAGAAAAGGUUAAGUUUGAAUUCCUUAGUAAACCAGAGUUACAUAAUUUAAAAGAAUUACAAAAGAAUGCAGUCACUAAAACAAUCAGAGUCAUUCAAAAUAAAGAUAAGCAACUAAAAUUCCUCCAGGACGAAGUUAAAUAAAAAAGAAUUGAGCAACAGCUUAGUCAUGAGUCUUUACAGUCACAAAUUCGACAGUUUGAAGAAAAAUUAAAACAAGAAGUUUGUUCUGAGUUGCCCAACGCCUUUUGGCAUAGGAAACAGCAUGUAGUCAGCCUUCCUUAUGUCAAAUCCUUUAGUGAGAAAAAUAUCCCCACUAAAGCCAGACCAAUUCAAAUGAGCCAAAAAUUAAUGGAAUUUUGUAAAACUGAGAUUACUGAAUUACUUGAAAAAGGAAUAAUCCGUAAGAGUAAGUCACCUUGGUCUUGUCCUGCUUUCUAUGUCCAGAAAAAUGCUGAAUUAGAACACAGAGUCCCAAGAUUAGCCAUUAAUUACAAACUGCUUAAUACUGUUUUAGAAUGGAUUAGAUAUCCAAUCCCCAAUAAAAGAGAUUUAAUUAAUCGUUUAGAGAAGUCAGUCAUCUUUUCUAAAUUUGAUAUGAAGAGUGGAUUUUGGCAAAUCCAAAUUUGUGAGUCUGAUAGAUAUAAAACUGCUUUCGUUACCCCAUUUGGUUAUUAUGAGUGGAAUGUUAUGUCAUUUGGUCUUAAAAAUGCACCCAGUGAGUUUCAAAAUAGAAUGAAUGAGAUUUUUAUUCCAUUUAAUCACUUUUCCAUAGUCUAUAUUGAUGAUGUACUUAUAUUUUCUGAGUCAAUAGAACAGCACUGGAAAAAUUUGCAUAAGUUCUUACAAAUAGUCAAACAAAAUGGAUUAGUCGUAUCUGCUAAGAAAAUUAAGUUAUUCCAAACUAAUGUGAGAUUUCUUGGGUUUAAUAUCUGUCAGUCACAGAUUAGCCCCAUAGAUCGAGUUAUCCAAUUUGUUGAUAAAUUUCCUAAUCAAAUCCUAGACAAAAGUCAACUCCAGAGAUUUCUAGGAUCUCUAAAUUAUGUUUCUAAUUUCUAUAAGAAUUUGAGAAAACAAUGUAAGCCUUUAUUUGAUCAUGUAUGGAGACGUCUAAUGAUAAGAGGCAACUGGAAGAUUAGACGGAGCAAUAUCUUGGAAGGGAUCAUGACUGGAUAUUAGGGCAGACUGAAAACUGGGGCGAACCUGGCCGACUGUGGCUCCUAGGUUGGCAAAUCUGUUACUAAUUUGGAUGGGAGAAAAUCCCUGAAAGGGGAGGAUCUGAGCAGGUGACUCUUGUUUGGCUUGACUCAUUGAUGGAGGGAGGACUCGGAGUGACUGGGGUUGACUAGACUGACCAACUUGACUCUUUUGCUUGUCUUUUUCUUUUCUUCUUUAUGCCAUUGUUUUCCCUGCAGGAAUUCUCUAGUAAGAAAAUCAGGGACAAAAUAUAUAUAUGGAGUUUGAGUUGAGGGAUCUCUCAAAUAAGCUUAUUUGAGAGACAACUUGUAGGGUACACUCUUUGUUGUAUUUCACUAAUCCUAACCGUCUAUUUUUUAGAUAUUCAUUCAAAGAUCAUCUCUACAAAAAAUCACUUGAAUCCAAUAUCAUUUGACAAUUCAAUUGAAAUAUUGAAAUUUUAGUAUUUUCUUGAAGCACUGUGUUAAUUAAUUUUGUAUGACACAAUUGAAUAUUGAAAUAGUUUCCGAUUUGUCCAAUUUUUUUUCAAGGAUGAUCUAUAAUUGUAGGCUUAAGAAAUAGAUGGUUUGGAUCGUUGAGGGAUCCCUCAAAUAAUCUUAUUUAAAAGACACCUUUGUAGAGCUCACUCCACAUUGUAUUUCACUAAUCUAAACCGUUUAUUUUUUAGAUAAUCAUUCAAAGAUCACCUCUACAAAAAAUCACUUGAAUCCGAUAUCAUUUGACAAUUCAAUUGAGUUAUUGAAAUUUUAGUACUUUCUUAAACUACCGUGUUCAUUGAUUUUGAAGGACAUAAUUGGAUUUCGGUUUCUAUUUGUCAAAAUAUAUAUAUAUUGAACUACUUUUUGUUGCCAUUGUCUGCUGCUAGAUUCACACACACAUAUAUAUGCUCUUCCAUUGAUGAAGCUGGCAUUAUAUUUAUAGUGAAUUUCGUGAUGUGGAUUAUUGUGUUUGCGGACCAAUCAUUCUCUGUAUGUUGUGAAAGCUUUGUUUAUCAUGGUGGGUUUUGUCAUUUAAAAACAUAUACAAUGUCAACCAACCAAUUUUACAAUAUCAUAAAACACAAGUAAUAGUAUUACUGCAGUUGGAAAUUGAUAUUGCAUACAUAUAUAAAGCAAGAAACAACAUGCUCAAUCAGCCACAAGUGAAGAAACAACUUGCUGAUACAUAACCACAUGACAUGAAAAUUUCAUGCAAAUAACUAGUAAUUAUAAUGGAGUCACACUAGAAGCUGCUGCAAAAUGAGUUGGUGUCCAGAACUCUUAUUUCUAGCAAGCAACUGGCUCUCUCUCAUUUAUUCUAACUCACUAGUUGAGAUGGACAGGUGGAGUUCAGGGCUUCUGGGGUGGAUUGUAGUAUGGGGGAGGCUUCUUCUUAUAUGGAGUUGGAGGAGGAGGAGGUUUCUUCCCUUCUGGCUUUUGUGGGGGUAGAGGAGCCUUGAUUGGAGGAGGGUGUUUAGGGUAACUAGGUGUGAUUGGUUUCACAACAGGAGGUAGAGUUGGUGUCUUAGGAUAAGGUGGUGGAAGUGGCUUGGUCACCGGCGUAGGUGGCGGUGAAUGUACAAUAGGAGGCUGAGUGCUUGGUGGUUUGCCAUAAGGUGAGGAUGGUGGUGGCCUCACCACUCUAGGAGGCAGAGUUGGUGGUUUGGGUUUGGGCACUAUUGGUGGUGAUGGCUUGUUAUAAACUGGGGGUGAUGGCUUCUUGAUGGGAGCUGGGGGCUUGUAAAUAGGAGAAGGAGUUGGUGGUUUGGGUUUGGGCACUAUUGGUGGUGAUGGCUUCUUGAUGGGAGCUGGGGGCUUGUAAAUAGGAGAAGGAGUGGGUGGCUUGGGUUUUUCAUUGUACUCAGCUAGAGAUGAAGUGAUGAGAACCACCAGGCCAAACAAUAGCACAAGCAACUUUGAGUAACUCAUGGUGUUUGUGUUUUUGUGAUGGUAUAAGAUCUAGACGGCAUCGUUUGCUAUUUAUAGUGCUCUCAGGCCUGUGUCGGCAAUACGUGUCAAAAGAUCUUGGUCAUUUUGUUUCAUAGUUAACAGUCAAGGAUUUUCAAAUUCAUGAGAAGAAAAGUACGAUUUUUUUGGCUGAAUAAAAGUUUAGAAGAGGGGAGGCUACACCAUCUUAGAGUUAGGACAUAUCAAAGUUUUCUUGAGGAUUUACAGAGGGGGUUUUAGUCUUUUUUUUUUGUUUUUACAGAUUAUCCCCCAAAAAGAAUUUUCGGCAACAGAACCCGAAUCUAAGUCUUGAUAGCAAAGAGAAUGAUCCUUAUCAACUCAACCAACCCUCGUUGACAGAGAAGUAAGAUUUUCAAUUGGUACGGAUGAUUGUUGAUAUAAGUGUUGUUGAUAGAGAAUCCCAAGUAUAAAUGGUAAAUUCUCUUAAUCAUUUGAGCAACAAAUUCUUUAUAAGUAAUUUGACUGAUUGAUUAUUGAUUGCAAUAAUGGUAAGUGUAAAUAAAAAUUGAGUAGUAUUUAAUGGAAAAUGACAUGACAGUAUUUUACUAGUUGAAAAUAGAACCAAGUUGUCGGUGUAGAUAAAAACAAAUGAUUCAGUCUUCCAAAAUGUGGAGAUUUGAAUUUGUGUUCGUCUAGCAUUAAUCUUUUAAAAAGAUUUUGGAUUUUUAUGUGAAUUUAAGUUAAUUUGAGUCUACAUUAUGCGUUCCAUGGUCUAUAUAAUUUAGACUGGUUUAAUUUUCCACAUUGAAUGACUUUUGUAUGUGGACUUUUCCCCCCAUCUUUCUUUAUUAUUGUCCUCUCCUCCGUUGUCGUUAGUUUUGUCACUUAUCAUCCUUGUGGUGUGAUGAUAAUUGGAAACGAGUGUUUCUAUUCUCGUUUCCCAAGCUAUGUUAUUAAAAUCUAACAUGAUUUGCAAAGGAUUCAUUAGGGUAGUAAUUUGGAGUAUUUAUUUCCUCAGGUAAGUUCUGGGUUCGAGUCGUAGUAUCUGUGUAGUGUGUGAGAGUUUAGCAUGCUAUUGCCCCUCUCAAUAGGAAAGGUCCUAAAAAAAAUCUAACAUGGUUUAUAUUGGUAUCAGGACUCUUCCAAUGGGACUACUGAGGGAACUGAGGCCAAGCCAUUGAUAUGUCAGCUUAGCGUUAAUGAAGAAAUAAAUAUAUUUGCUAACCAAGGUGGUAUGGGACUAGUGUGUAAGUAAAUGCCUUCUUCAUUGGGCUAGACUCUGUUAGCAUUAGGCAUUAAAACUUAAUAUCUCUUCCAACGGUGAAAAAAGAUGUAUCACUGAAUCACUAUAGGUACGGUAUUAUUUCACUUUCAUCUUUUACUAUCUAUUUUCAACGUACUAUAUCACUAUUGGAACAAUGCAAAAUUUCUGGAAUCAAUUAGGGAACAAAGGUGUGAAUAUUAUAUCUCCGUUCCCUUUUGUAAUAAAAUAUGUAUAGAGUUGAGCAAUGGUCACAAAAUUCGUUGCUUUCCAAUAGAUUGCUAUUUCAUUUCUGGUUAAAUCGUCUUGUAGUGGAAAAAACUGAGUCUUCAGCAGCCGCGUUUCUUGAUUUCUCUCAUGGAUUUGGUGAAUUUGAUGGCUGCUUGCGGACCAAUUAGCCGAAGGACAUGUGCUCUCUAUCUAACCCCGUCAUAGUCUGUAUAGCUCUACCUAAAAGGUAAAAAUCAGAGAAAGGAGAGAUCGGACUUGCGACCAAAUAUAUAGUGAGACACAUUACAAGAUUCUUGAAAGAUCUUGAGCCUCUCGAUCUAAAUUGGUUUUGAUUUGGAUGUUCAUAUUUUAUAUUCUAUAUAUAUAUAAUAACGUAAUAUAUUUACUAAUCUUGUUUUUACAGAAAAUUGUUAAGGAUUAUUGCAAAACGAAAGUGUAUUUGUUUAUUUGUUUGGGUUAUUCCCACAAUGUUCAUCCCACCGCCGCGUAUUUUGCUUUCUCUAUAGUGGUUAGGUCCAUUCACGUCAAUAUUAUAUUCAAUCUAAUUUUAGCUUUCAAUUACCAGUGUCCACUCGGUUUUCUUGACGUUUUGAUGUCAUGUAUUGGACCCGAAUAUCGGAUAUCAUCUGUCUCUUCCGCUGAUGAAGGGAUAAAUGCCAUCGAAUCAGAAGAUCUUACUUUUCCAAGGGGGCUUUUCUCUUGUCUCCUCCCAAUCUUCGUCGACUAAGAUCUUACUUUUCUUUUUCUUCUUUUAUAUUUCUACCUUCUUAAUCACUGUACGAAGGGAGAAUUUAUCAAAAAUAGCUAAAAUUUGACUCUUAAUUUCAAAAAUGUUAAUUUUUGUAAAAAUUUCAAUAUAACAGAAAACUCACUUAAAUAGAUACAAAUGUCCUUAAAUUUAAAACUUACAUAAACCUAAAAAAGAAACCUUAUUAAAUAAAACUUUGAAAUAUUUCCUCCAAACACUUUUCCAAUCACCUCUAUUUCUUUUUCUCUUUUUUUUUCCUUCUUCCGUUUGUCUCCAGCAUCACUCCCUCUCUUUUCCUUUUUUUUUUUCUUUCUUCUUCUCUCCACAUAUAUAUAUAUAUAUAUAUAUAUAUAUCUAUCUAUCUAUCUCUCUCUCUCUAUCUCUCUCUCUCUCUCUCUCUCUCUCUCUCUGUGCAUAUCUCUAUUCUUCUUCUCUCCCAUUUUCUCCAAAUAAAAUGUAUGUAUUUAUUUGGCAAAAAAAAAAGUAUUUAGAACCAAAAAUUCAGAAAAUGAUUGAAUCAAUGCACAAGUAUAAUUUCCUCCUCUCACCCAAAAAAAAAUAUUUAUUUCACAUAACUUUAAUUCUUCAAAAACUGUCACAAAUUUAGAGGUAGUCUGUAGAACAAAAAAUUCAAUAAAACGAUCUACAUUAAAAAAAUAUAUAAUUAAAUAUUCAUUCAUUACAAUUCAUAAAGUUAAAGAGAAAAAUAUUACACCAGUCCGUCUAUGAGGUAGGAUGAAGUGCAAUUGAAUUCUUGGAAGUUUGUCAAUAAUGGCCAAUUGAACCACAUCUUGAACACUUACGAGUUGAUGGUUCUUCUCCUCGUGAUGGGAUUCUCUUUUCCUCAAGCCUGCCGUGCCUUCUUCGUGUAAUUGGUGGUAGCACAAUUCUAUCUCGUACAUCAUCAAGCACCACCCAAUCUGUUUGAUCCCCAACUAGCCAUAUAGAUUCUGCAUCCGCAAUUACCAAUGAGUUUGUAGUAUAAUAUUUUGAACACAUUGGGUAGCACGAAAUUUGUCAAUGCGUACAUGCAGCACAAGCAUCUUCUGCUACACAUAUGUCAGAAUCAUCAUAUUACUAGACUCAAUAAUUUUCCAAGCCUAUCAGCACUAACCUUUGAUGCAGGCUCAAAGUGAAUUGACGAUAUUAAAUCAUAGCACUUUGAAUAGGGCUCAAGAGUCCAUUAACAGAAAUGUCGCAACUAUGGACAUUAAGUUAGCAAAACCAGAAUUGAAAUUUUAUAAAUAUAGUAUGAAGAAUAAACGAAGAAACGAAGUAACGAAGAAGAAAUUGAACGAAGAACCAAAGAAGAACAGCACUCUACGUACAAAGAUUCUCAAUCUAAUAGGGUUUUGUUUUUUAGGUUUAUGUUGGUUUUAAAUUUAAGGGUAUUUGUGUCUAUUUAGGUGAGUUUUCUUCUAUAUUUGAAAUUUUUUAUAAAAACUAACAUUUUUGAAAUUAGGGGUCAAGUUUUGGCUAUUUUUGAUAAAUUCUCAUACGAAGGAUUAUCUUUUAGGUGUGAACCUUAAAACACCAUUGGAUGAGAUUUAUGAUUCGUGUAGGAAAAAAAAAUCAAAGGAAGAAUGAGGAGAGCGAUGUUGAAGAAUAUUGAAGUCCCACAUCAGAAACUUAACAAAAUAAUCAAAUACUCCAUAUAAUGAAUGAUUCCACUAUUAAUAAUAUCGAGACUUUUUGUAUAAAAUUUCACAACUGCUAAACAAAUGGUUAAAUUAAAGACAAUAUUGAUAUUAUUAGUAGUGGGUCAUGAGUCCCGAAUAAUUCAAGGGUCAUGAGUCCCGAAUAAUUCAAGGGGAUGGUUUGAAAAAUUCAAUCUAAUUCUGGCUUUCAAUUACUAGUAUCCACUCGUUUUUCCUGAUGUUUUGAUGUCAUGUACUGUUUGAUUUUCAAACUAAUUAUGGGAUGGUUUGAAAAAUCAAACUAAUUAUGGGAUGGUUUGAAAAAUCAAACUUAGAGAAAGCAACCCUUACUGCCUAGAAAAAGAAAAAGGUUAGCCGGCCCUAACUUCUCGUUAAGGAUAAAAAUUUGAACCGGCAAAUCAGUGAACCGGAACCGAAUCUGCAUGAACUGGCUAUAUUUAUAUCUAGUUUUUAAUUUAUUUUUACAGAUGUCUUGUUCUCAUUGUUUUUUUUUUUUGACCUUUCCUAUUGAAAGGGGCGAUAACAUAUUAAACUCACACACACAACACGGAUGUCUUGUUAUCAUUGUUGAUUCUAUACAAUUAGUACAAAGUAAUUUAACAAACAAAGCAAUUUUCUAAAACGGUCCUCCUUUUUUCUCCUUCUAUGGUUUGGUCCUCCUAAUCUAUUCACGGCAAUACUUUGGGCACUGAGGUGAUUGAGCAUAGCCAUUGACAAUAAUACAAUUUAAAGUCUUAAACUCUAUACUUAGCUUAGGGUUAAGUAUUCCAUUAGUGGCAGAAUGUUAAGGCUAAAUAUACGCUAUCUUAAAAAGUCAACCACAAUUAUAUAUGUAACGCACUAUAAAUAUAAAAUGGGGUUAAUGACCUAAAUGGUCUUUCAACUAUUGCUCCAUUAUCAUUUUGGUCCACCAACUAAAAUUUUCAAUUCAAACGUCCUCAAACUUUUUAUUUUGUACCAAGAUGGUCCAUCCGUGACAGAUUCUGUUACUUCUGAUCACGCGAUGGCCACGUGACUGAGUUUUGAAGGGUAUAUGCAACUUUUUGAGAAGCUUUAUCGAAGGGUAUCACUAAAAUGGUCCAUCAACUGUUGCUUCAGUAUCAUUUUGGUCCACCAACUAAAAUUUUCAUUUGAACUGUCCUUCUACUUCUUUUUUUUUUCUUUUUUUUUUGUUAUCAAGAUGGUCCUACUAUCAAAGUCCAUCAAUUUUAUUGUUAUUUAAUUUUGUAUUUAUCUUAUUUUAAAAUUUUUAAUUAAUUUAAACAAUAGAGAAAUAAAUAUUACUUUUUAAGUCCAUGUCAUAAAAUAAAAAAAGCCAUGUUGGUGGUGAGAUUCAAUUUUUUCAAUUUUAAAAUUAGGUACAAGUUCCUAUAAUAGUUUCCUUUAAUUUUAAUUAUUAUUUUCUCUUUUAAAAAAUUUGUUAUUAUAUAUAUGUGAUUUUAAUUAAUUUAAACAAUAGAGAUUUUAUUAUUAAUUGUUAGGUCAGUGUCAUAAAAAAAAAAAAGCCAUGUGGCUAGUGAGAUUCAAAUUUUUAAAAUUUUUUAAGUUUUAUAAUAGUUUCCUUGAUACCAAAAAAAAAAAAAAGAGUUGAAGGAUGGUUCAAAUGAAAAUUUUAGUUGGUGGACUAAAAUGAUACUAGAGCAAUAGUUGGGGGACCAUUGUGAUCAAUAACCCUUUUAGAAGAGGAUACUCACCUAAAAAUACGGUUUUGUCCCUCGAUUUCACGGAAUAAUACACAGACUUUGACAGAUGGACCAUCUUGGUACAAAAUAAAAAGUUUAAGGACGUUUGAAUUGAAAAUUUUAGUUGGUGGACCAAAAUGAUAAUGGGAGCAAUAGUUGGGGGGACCAUUUAGGGUCAUUAACCCAUAUAAAAUCGUUAAGGGUAAUGUUAUACUAGAUCCCGAGUCUAUGCAUUUAGAGUCCACGCAUUUACCCGUAUUUGACUUCAUAUCAACCAUUACAAAGAUCCAACGACUUAAAAUAUGAUAGAUCAUUAUUACAUCAUAAAGUUUUAUUUUUCUAACUGACGUUACUGUUACCAUUUCCUCAAAGCCUUUCUCCCUUGCUUGUUCUCUUCCCUCUCUAAUCUCUCUCAAUUUUUGCUUCUCAUGAAUAUCUACUACCCAGCAUCAUAAAUUGAAUUUCCUAUUUUUAGUACAAUUUCAAUCAAUUCCCCCAUUGCCAAUUGGUUUUGGAGUGUAACCUCAACUUCCUUCACUUAUGUCCUCAGGCUCUCUCCAGUUUGUAUUGUUUGCUUUUUGGGUUUUGUGUAGGUGAAGGAAGUUGAUAAUUGAGUCUGAGAGCGUUUAUGGUGGCGAGAAAGCUUUGUUUCAAUGGAUGUUCUUUUUUUGCAAUGUCUGUUGAUUUGGCUUCCUCGUUUUUAGAGAGACAGAGUUAAUGGAAGGACUAAUGUUAGUUUAGGGAAGAAAAAAAAAACUAAAUUUCAUAACCGACACGUGGUAUAAAAUGUAGAGAUGCCAUAUUAUGUGAUAUAAAAAUGUGGUAAGACUAAUAUUAUUGUAACCGUAAUCAUAUGAUUCAAACUUGAAACCUCAUUCAACUAAGUGAAGACAACUACCCAAAAAAUCAUAAACUAAUUGACAUAAAAACUAUUUAUUAUAAACAAAUUUUGAAUCCAUAUUUUCUGUUAAAUAUAGAUGUAGGACUAGGGUUAAGUAUUAAGUUGGAUGAUAUUUUUGUCUUUUUACUAUAAUUAUUCUCUCUGCUGCUACGGGAUGGGUUAAGGCCUCCCUUGCUGCUGUGAUUAAGGUGGAUAAGGUGCAUUCUUUUAUCUAUUGGAAACCUCCUCGCCCUGCUCAGUUUAAACUUAAUGUUGAUGGGUCUAGAUGCACUUCCUCUGGAUGUAUUGGGGCUGGGGUUGUGAUUCGUGAUGCUUAUGGGGGCGGAUUGGUGGUUUUUCAGUGCACCUUGGCCACAGACAUAUCUUGGAUGCUGAAAUUUGGGGGUUAUAUUUUGGCCUUAAGCUUGCUGUGACUAAGGGUAUAAGCUGCCUUAUUAUUGAAAUGGAUGCUGCUGUGGUUGCCCAACUAGUCAAGAAUAUUGAUGGUCUGGCUCACCACCCCUUUGCUUUACUGAUUAAUGUUUGCUGUGCUCUCAUGCAACAAUUUGCAAAUAGUUGCACUCUCCUUCAUAUUUACAGAGAAGGAAAUUGUGUGGCUGACGGUUUGGCAAAUUGGAGUUACAACUUAGACCUGGGUAUCCUUUAUUUUAAUGAAGCUCCAAAUGUGUCAUAUCUUAAUUCAUUAGAUUAUUAGAACGAUGGGUAAAUGCACACUAUCUAAAUGCAGAGGCUCAGAAUCCGCCUAGUUUAAACUUUUAAGCUAUUUAUAUAUAUAUAUAUAUUUUAUAGAGAUGGACCAAUCAUAUUGAAUUAAAAAAUAACUAUAGUAUUUAUGAUUCCCUAAACUAUGGAGUAUGAUUAGAGUUCAAAUUUGGUAGAGAACUCCUAAAAUAACUUUUAUGUGUUUUUAGCUAAAUUUUAGACACACAAAACUGACCACAUUAGCCGACCACCUUAUGUGGCAGCUGAUGUGGUCAUGCCAUAUUUUUAUCUCACAUUUCCAUACCACAUAAUGUGGCAUGUCCAUAUCAUAUGCCACAUCAAUUAAAUCAAUAGAGUGUAUUUUAAUUAAGACAAUUAGAAAAAAAAAUACUGGAAUAAAUCAUAAAAGAAAAGAAAAUAUUAAAUACUUUUAAUUGAUGUGGUUAUCCACCUCAGCUGCCACAUAAGAUGGUAUAAGGAUGUAGUAUACAAAUAUAGUAAGAGUAGCAUUAUUCUUUCAAUAUAGUAAUCAUCGUUUAGAGAAAGAGUAAGGCUACACUUACUAUAUUUUUAUACCACAAUCCUAUACUAUAUGAUGUGGCAAUCCACAUAAUUAAGCUGACACGUUAAUAAAUUGUGAUAAAAGGUAUUUAAUAUAUUAUUAAUAAUAAUAAUUAAUAUAAUAUAUUAUUAAUUCAACAAACAAUUUAGGGUUAAGUCUUUAUUUAUUUAUUUAGUUCGCAUAAUAGGGUUAAGCCUUUUAUUGAUGUUCUAUUAUGUUCGUCUCUUUCUCUUGCCAGUUUUUUGGUCGGCUUGUUAAUAAAUCACCUACUGUUUUUUUUUUUUUUUAAAAGAAAAAGAUUUCAUUCAUAAGCCAAAACGGCAUACAAAGACUGACAUUAAUUCAUUAGCCUCAUUAAUACCUUCAUAGGAAAACCACUUAGGAUAAACCCCAAGGUAGGAAAGAGUACCACCUAUGUCAAUGACUAACAAGAGAGUUUGACCCAGACCACAAAAGACAGUUACAAGAACAGAAAAAAAAAUCCAACUAAACACCAACAGAGUGGACUCAACUGUCAAAAGAAGCCUUCUAUGAAAAAAACUCUUAGUCCUUUGACUGCCCAUGAACUGCAAAAACACACCAAGGAUAGAAACCCAAGAGAGCAUACGGAGGAAGAGCACAAAAAAAUAACAAGAGAGGCCCUGAAAAGCACCCCAACUCAACUUAGAACCUGACAAAGAAACUUCUAUGACCAAACAUAGGUCUUCGGGCAGCGCAGAGCAGAGACGAGCUGCAAAGGAGCAACAUAACAAUGGAAAAUGACAGCAAAACAGAACACAUCCCAACAACUACCAUCAGUGUCUGUCGCUGCCAUCAAAACAUAGACAAAACAUUAGCCACCAGGUAUCACAACGCUCCCGAAAAAAGAUCAAAUCCAGCGUCACUACUGCUGCCGUCAUCGAGACAGAGACAACACCAGCCACUUACACCACUGCAAAAACAACUAAAUAAAACAAACAGACCUAGAUCCAAACAUAUCAAGGCUAAAAACCCAAGAUCUAAUUAGAUUUGGGAGGAGAAGAGGAAGGGGAUAGAAGGGCCAGCAAGAGCCCCUAGGAAAGUGGGAAGAGAGGGAGAGAGGAGGAAAUGGAGGGAAAAAGAUGGGAAAAGAGGAGAUGAAGGGAGAUGAUGGGCAGUGGCCACCUCCCAUAGCUUAGGAAAGGGUGGUUGUCGGCAAGGAGAAAGAGGGAGGGUUUUGGCUAGGGUUUACUUUGCUAUCUCUUUUGCGUAGCAAUAAAUCACCUACCGUAGGAGUUGCAUAAAAUCCGAUUGCAAAUCCUAGAACUCCCAAAAUCAGAUCGAAUCGUGGCUUAAUUAGCAUCUAUAUGGUCAUAAACAGAUGAAAUCAUGGGUAUUGAAAAAUGAUAAUGAUAUAUCAAAUCUCCUAAAAUCAUCCUUGUCGGUAGAGAAGUUUCAGCGUUGUUCAACAAUUGAAGAUGAGGGUAACACAUUUAAUUCAUUAAUGAUAAGAGCAUUUUAAUACAUAUAACUUGUCUUCCCUAAAAUUACUCUUGCUAGCAUUUUAUUUAGCUUACUUUGCAUUAAUUAUGUUGUUUUUGUCAAUUGGGGUGUUUUGGAAGAUUUCAAUAAAAAAAUAAGGAUAUUUUAGUGCUUAUUAUUCUUGAAUUUGCACAUGGCAGCAACUUUGGGGAGCCAGCAGCUAGAGGAAAUCAUUCAUGUGUGCAGCGAAUGAAAGGCAAUAGGAAUUAAAAAAGAUGGCAAGACUUGCUACACCUUCUGACCAAGGAAGAAAACCCACGUGCGCGAGCAGCCAAAGCCAAAGUAAUGUGUGCAGCAACAAAUGAAAAAGAAAAGGAAAAAGUAUAAAGAAUGAUGUUGGCUGACAAAAGAUAUGAAAUUCAAAUGCCAAUAUGCCUACACGUGAUGAGCAGAGAAAGAUGAAGAAAAGAAAGAGGAAUGGCAGCAGCAAGUUGAAGACCAAUUGGAAGACAUAUGAUGUACAGCAGCCAAAAGAAGAAUGAAAAUGAAAAUAAUGAGAAAGAAUGUUGAGCUGCAGCUUACACGUGAAGAAAGCAAAGGAAAGCAUGGGUAUUUGUGUUCAGCCAAAAGAAGAAGGAAUAAAGCGAUGUUGAUGUAAUAUAACCCACGUUGGUGAUGGGUUAAUGGCAGCUGCAAGAGGAUCUCAUUCCUCUAUAAAUACAGAGCAAUGCAAUGGAAGAGGUGUGCAGAAUUUGGGCACCAAAUAGAGAUAGUGUAGUCCAGUGGAGAAAAGACCCUGGGGAGCAGAGAGGCAAGAAACCAGGGGCAUCUGCCAUUUUAGUUUUUCUUUUUUAAGUUUUCAGCUAGUUUAUAGGGAUAAGGAAAAUGCCAAUAUAAUUGGAGAGAACCUUGGGGAGUCGUGAGGCAACGAUCCAAGGGAUUGAUGAUGCAGUUUCUCCUUCUCUUCCAUGUUUUAGUUUUAUUUCUUCUUUGAGUUUUCAUAUUGUUUUUAUUUUCACUUAUAUCUAGCUAAACUCCUUUAUUAAGGUUGAGGGGGAAACACCAUUAUGAAAUAAAGUUUUAGUUUUUAUUUUUCAAUUCCCAACUAUUAUAUUCUUCAAUGUUUAUAAUUUCACUUCACAUGAUUAAUAAAUUAAUUUUCUUUUCACCACUUCGAUCGUGUAUUUGUGGUAGUUCAGAAUUUAAGUUAAUCUAUUAAUGCAUCCUUGAUUUUGUAUUACUAGUAUACACAUAUCUUCGAUCAUUUGUAGUUAAAUAAUAUUUUUCACAUAGGAUGUUCAGAAUUUGUACUUAUGAAGGGAAGGGGAAUUUAUAUAAGAGAAUUUAUAUAAGAUUCAUUAAAAUGCAUGUUUAAUUGAUAUAUCUUGAGAAAGCAGUAAAUUGAUUCCUAGAUUGCUACUCCAGAGAAUUGUUAGAUAGAUAAUUAGAGUUUUAUAGAAUAAUGGCGUGUAAUCUAAAACCUUAGUUAUUUUUCUCAUUCAUUUAAUCCAUUCUAGUUAUUAUUUGCAUUUUUAAUUUUUAUGCUUUAUUUAAUUUUCUUUUCAACCAACAAAUCAACUUUGAAUCAACUAGGUUAGCGAUUGAAUUAAAUUGGGUUGGAUUAGUUUCCAUCAUUUUCACACAAGUAUUAUAAAUUUAAAACAACACAUUUGGGUGGACAACAAGUUUAAAGUAUUUAUAAAAUAAAGCAACAUUAUUUAUAGAGAACCAAUAUGAGUUCUUUCUCUUUUCUUGGAUUUAGGAGCUCCUAAAAGUCUCUCUAUUUUAGAAGGUGGAUAGGGAGCAUGAUUGAAGUUGUAUUUUUCAUAUUCCUCUUUAAAAUUUGUCUAAAGAUAAGGGGAACAAGAUUUGUUAUCCCCAAUUUUCAUGUCCCAUUGUGUUCCUUUUUUAAAAUUUUAACACCUGUCUAAAUAAUUGACAAAACUUUAACACUGUCAAGUUUUAUUCAAAAACCCUAAUAAAUAUAAACAUCGUAAUAGCUCUUCUUCUUCACUUUUAAUCUUCUCUUCACAGCCAAACAUAUCCAAAUUAUCUCAAGGAAGAACCACCACAUAGCUACCAAUGCGAAUCCCUUGUAACCAACCAAAAUCGUUCAUCUUUCCCAUAUGGGAUGAGAUUCAGAAGGUUCUUCAUAGCUUUGAAGUUGAUGACGGCGGAAGAAGACGUAAGCACCUUUGAAAUUGCAACAAAAGCAUACUGCAGAUUUUUCUUGCUAGAAGAUUUGAAAUUAAUGUUUUGUUUUUUGUUUUUUUUGUUUUUUUUUUCACAAAAGAUGGUAUUUCAUUCAACCGAAUUAUGGAAAUAUAUAGAAAAAGAAAAAUACAUUAAAUGUUCGGUAUUUUUUUGCUCAAUUAGUGAUUUUGAUUAAGAUUGAAAAGUAUUAUUUAGACAGGUGUCAAAAUUUUAGAGAAUAAGGAGCUCGCAUUUUCCUUACUUCAAGGCCCAACCUCACUAUUUCAUCUUUGAUCGACGAGUAAUUAUCUAUAUAUAUAUAAAGCAAAAGGUAGAGAAUGGUGAAACAUUUAAAUUACCAGAAAAUGUCCAUAGUUAAUGCAAAUAUUAAGAAUUGAAAUUAUUAAUUAAAUGAGAAUAAUAUGGUAAAUUCACAUUUUUCAUAUUAAAAAAAUUAAAAUUAAAAGAAAAAUCAGAUAAUGGAUCCUAUUUUUAUGAAACACAACUACCCAUUAUUUUUUUUAAUUCUAAAAUAAAUUUAAAUUUAUUGAAAAAAAACCUCUUGCAGGCGCGGAAGCGCUUGUGGAGAGGCUAGUAUUACAAUUAUUAACAUAAUCUAUACCACGUUCCACUAACUUUAUACCACGUCUUUUAAUUUGAUUUUUUCCUCUACUGAUUCAGUGUUACUGUAUAUUACAUAGACACAGUAUCAUUAAUAAUUUGACAAUAUUGUACCGAUAUUUGAUAUAUCGAUCAAAUGUCAAUAAUGUGGUACAAAAUAUUGUAAAUUGUUACCAAUUGGUACGAGUACACCAAUUUACAACACUUGAUACAAUGUUAUUGAUAUAAUUAACAUUGUACUAUGUCAACAAUAUUGUACAAAGUAUUUGCAUGGCGUAAUGUUAUUUGCUAAAGAUAUUUCAAAGAAGCUAACAAGGGCAUUGCUUUGUAAAUCAGUGAUCUCAAGUUCGAACCUUAUGGCACAUUUGUAGUAUGUGCGUGAGAACAGAACAUUUGUAGUAUAGUUGGUCAUCCAAAUAAAAUGAAACCAUAGUUAGCCCAGAUAACAAAACUAUUGUUAAGCACUAACAAAAAGCACCUCCAAACUCAAAUCUUUUCACAAAAGGCAAAAUGAGAACAAAAUCUACAUCAAAUAUUUCAAAAUCAACUUCUCAAACCAAAACAUAACUACAAAAGUGAAAAAAGAAUCUAAUCUAGAAAACACAUACCUCACCAGAUGAAAAACAGAGCUUUGCGUGAGAAGAAGGAAUAUGAGAGAGAGAGGGUGUCAUCAUAGAUGAAGCAAAUAAGGAAUAGGAGAGAGAGAUGGCAUCGUUAUGUCGUCGAUGGAGCGAAGAAGGAAGAUGAGAGAGAGGGCGUCGUCGUCGAUGAAGUUAAUAAGAAAAAUGAGAGAGAGAGAGAGAGAGAGAGAGAGAGAGAGAGAGAGGCUGAGAUCUGGUUUUAAACAAAAGGGUAAAAUUAUAUUCCACCUUUAUAAUUUAGACAGGUCCAAUGAAUAUGGGCCUCUUAUUUAGGCAUAUCCAAAACAAAAUUUGAUUCAUAGGUAUUAAAACCCAAACAAAAAUUUCUCAAAUCCUAAUUAGUAAAGAUUGUAAUGCCUAAUACCUAAUUUUUCUUAACUUUUAGGAUAAUGCUAUAUGGCACAUUUUUAAUACCAUCUCACCUGGCAGUUGAGGUCGACAUUCAACUCAUUUAAAUUAUAUGUAUAUAUUUUUUAAGAUAUCAGUUUCUUAUAAUUUUCAUUAAUUCAAAAACUUAACCCUGGAGACUUUUCAAUUUCAUGUUAUCUGUUGGCCUCCCUAAAUUCACUCUCUUCCUUUGCCGUCGAUUCGCCACAUCUUCUGUCACAUUCCGGGAUCGGCUCCGCCGUAGCAUGAUAUUGUCCUCUUUGGGCCCCCCUCUCUGCCCUAACGGUUUUGUUUCUGGCCCCAACUCGCUUAACUUCAGAGUUCCCAUGACUUCGAAGCCAGUGAGCUCCCAAAAGGCCUCGUGCUAGAUGAAGGUGGGCAUGUACAUAUAAGGCACAUCACCCCCUCUCCAUUGGUCGAUGUGGGAUGUUAUAAUCCACCCCCCUUAGAGGCCCGAUGUCCUCGUCGGCACACUAGCACCACACAGCAGAGUGACUCUGAUACCAAAUUGUCACAUCCCGGGAUCGACUCCAUCGUAUCACGAUAUCGUCCGCUUUGGGCCCCCCUCUCUGCCCUCACUGUUUUGUUUCUGGGAACUCACGAGCAACUUCCCAGUGGGUCACCCAUCCUGGGAUUGCUUUAGCCCCAACUCGCUUAACUUCGGAGUUCCCAUGAUUCCAAAGCCAGUGAGCUCCCAAAAGGCCUUGUGCUAGAUGGAGGUGGGCAUGUACAUAUAAGGCACAUCACCCCCUCUCCGUUGGUCAAUAUGGGAUGUUACAGCUCCACUCCCUCCACCUUUAAUUUUUUGUUAGUCCACCUUUGAGCUGAUGUCUAUAGUCUAUGGUCAAUGGUCAGUCCCGGCCCUGCCCAGGGGCAGUUAAUGCGACUGCCCAGGGCCCAUUAUUCAAGGGGGCCCCAAAUUUUUUUAAUUAUGAUAAGUGUUAUAUUAUAUUAUUAUAAAUUGAUUUAAUAUUUUUCCAUAAUUUUUAGGAAUAAGAUAUUGAGAUGAAUCUGAAAUUUUGGAACAAAGGAUCCAUGACGAGAGUUUUAAAAGAAAUUCUUUGAUAUUGGCUUGACUUGCAUUCUUGAAAUUCUUUGACUCACUGGUAUGGUAUCCAUAGUUGGACAUUUGUUUUCAUUAUUUAGGAAUAUGGAAGACAUUGCUCAAAGUCUAAAAGUAUUUUCAAAUAAAUACUUUCUCAAAAAACCCAAUGCUUAGUUGAUAAAACAAGAAGUAUACUAGUAUUAGUGAUUAAUGUGUAUAUGGCACACUUUAGAUUUUCGCCUUAGGCCUUUGAAAACUCAGGACCGGCCCUAUCAAUGGUAGGGUCAUAACACUGCUCCUUGCAUCACCAGCUCCGACCACCUCUAUUACCUCUCAUAGAAAGAUGGAUGAUGUUGAUCAUGAUAUGGGUCUUGAUCAAGCAGAUUUGUAGUUGUGAUAACAUGUGUACUGACCAAAAAGCCAAGGAGGAGAAAGCCUUGCAACGGCGAAGAGGCAAUGGAUCGGCUACAUAGGUCUGGCAGAGUGUCGCCGAUGGAGAGGAGAGGAAGUAGGGAGAGAUGGAAUUGGGGGAGGUCGACAAACAACGUGAAAACUAAAGAGUCUCUAAUCCAGUAGGGUUAGUUUUUUUAAUUAAUGAAAAUAAUAAGAAAUUGAUAUGUCAAAAAAAAAAAACUAAUAUAAUUUUAAUGAGACUACUACAAAAAUUGAAAUAGACGACGGUGUCUUUGAAAACCGUUUUUAAUUCGACCACAAUCUUUUGGAAUGUCAAACUACGACGGUGAUUAACCGUCGUCUAUUAUUUGUAAAGACGACAUUUUUACUCAAAACUGUCGUCUAUUAAAGACAACGGUUUGUCUAAUAGAACCGUUGUUUAUUAUAUCGAAAGACGUCGGAUUUACUGUCGUCUAUUAAUUGAAAAGACGACAAUUUCUUUAAAUAUUGUCAUCUAUUAACUCUAAGACGACUGUUAUUAAUUGUAAAACUGACGUAGUAAUUUUAAAUUUUAGCUUCUUUUUUUCUUGUUUCCAAUGGUAUCAGAAAUCUAUACUCAAAUAUGCUAUUACCACACCAGACAUAUAUAUAUAUAUAUACUCAAAAAUUGUUUCUUUCAUAAAUAGUAUAUCAAGAGAACAAUAGAACAAAAUAAAAUCUAAAAAAUGAAAGCACUCUAGGGUCGCUAGUUGCUAGCUGCAAGCUACAAGCCUAAUUACAAUAAUACACAAAAAUUCAUAUACCUAAUUAUCCUUUAAGUCAAGUUCUCCAUGUGUAUAUAGAGCAAUACACUCAUCAUCACCAAUUUUCCUCUGCAUUCUAUCUGAACUUCAUCACUUUGUUCUUGGGUGUGUGAGUUAUCUACCUUCUUGCACAUUUUUUCAUAGGCACAAUAAGACACAAGCUUGUACAAAAAAUUAGUGAUUUUACAGCAAGAAAAUAGUUAGGUCUUCGCUCGAAGUGAAAGCCAAUAAAAACAAAACAUUACACCAAUAAAUAAAUGAGGGCCUAUAUAGCAUAAAACAUGGUUAACAUAACUAAUUUAUUAUUAUUAUUAUUAUUUUGAAAAAGAUGCUUUGUUUAAAAAUAAUAAGCACCACAAAAGUGUACAAAAGAUAGUAUUGAAAUAAUUAAUAUUAUCUAAAAUUUAAGCAUGAGAAAAAAGAAUAAAGGGAAACAACAAGAAAAAAAAAAGAAAAAAAAGAAAGAAGAGAAAGCCUGAACACCCCCCUUAGUUCUGCCCAUCAAAGAAAAGAAAACUAUAUAUUCAUUAUUCAUACCUUGUUUACCGACUACAAUUUCUUUUUGUUGGAUCAUAUGUUUACCGACUAUAUUGUAGACCGCUUUUGUAAUAGUACGAGAUGGUAUCAAAAGUAAGCAUGCAUGCAUAUGUCCUGAUUAUUUUAUGUUGUCCAACAUGUAGCACUGGAUGACGGCAAGAAAUCAUAAACAUUAAAUUAACCUACUCUUGGCAAAAGCUAUAACAGUAUAAACGAAAGUAUAUUUGUAUCAGAUUCUUUUCAGCGUACACAACACAGAUUUUGUGUUCGUCAGUCCACAGCUCUUGCUUGAUUCUAGUGUCUAGUGUGCUGAGUGGAAAGAUGCACAGCUAGUUUAACUUGUUGUCCACCCAAAUGUGUUGUUUUAAAUUUAUAAUACUCGCAAGCAUACAAAUCGACUGUAGAAUAGGCGUGUAUAAGUGUGACAGGAAGUGUGUGAAAAUGAUGGAAAACUAAUCCAACCCAAGUUAAUUCAAUUACUAACCUAGUUGAUUCAAAGUUGAUUUGUUGGUUGAAAAGAAAAUUAAAUAAAGCACAAAAAUUGAAAAUACAAAUAAACUAGAAUAGGGAUUAGAUGAAUGAGAAAAAUAACUAAGGUUUUAGAUUUCACACCAUUAUUUCAUAAAACUCUAAUUAUUUAUCUAACAAUUCCCAUGGAGUAACAAUCUAGAAAUCAUGUUAUUGAUAUAAUUGAAAAUUUUACUCUAUCAAUAAUAUUGUACAAAGUAUUUGCGCGGUGUCAUGUUAUUUGCUAAAGAUAUUUCGAAGAAGCUAAUAAGGGCAUUGCUUUGUAAAUCAGUGAUCUCAAGUUCGAAUCUCAUGGCACAUUUGUAGUAUGUGCGUGAGAAAUCCUGUCUUUCUUGUAAUUUAGACUAUCGCUUAAUUGUAUUUGAAAAACUUAGAUAUUUUGAAGAAAAUAGAACAUAAAUUAAAAGGGGAAGAAAAGCGUAGUUUAUAUAUAAUAACAACACAAAUGACACCGGAUGCUUUACAUGAGAAGAGCACAUUACUACUGCUAUAGUCGAAACCGAUCCGUACAUCACAGUGACAUUACAAGAAAUUAAACACACAUAACACAUCUCUUAUUCUACGUAAUGACAUGAACUUAGCAAGCUAGUCAUUCAUGCAUGCAUGAUCAGAGCUAGUCAUUCAUGCAUGCAUGAUCAGUUUCAGUUGGGAAAUGGAAGUUUGUGAGGUGGCUUGACAGGGCCAGUUGGGGGCUUUAGUUUCCUCGGUGGCUUUGAUGGGUCUCUUCCACCCUCCACCACAUUCUGUUCAAGAUGGCGAUCGUGAUGAGGUGGCUUGUCUCCCUUGCCCUUAGGAGGCUGAUCAACUGGCUUGGGCUCUGGCUUGGGCUCUGGGAAUGGCUUGUGCUCAUCAAGUGGGGUUGGUGGCUUGGGUUUUGUGGGUGGCUUCGGCUUCUUUCCCUGAGGAGGCAAUUUCCCAUCCAAUGGCUCCUCUAGCAAACGAGUUCUGGUUUCUUGUUUGUGAUGAGGCGGUUUCUCACCCUUUGGAGGCUGAUCAACUGGCUUUGGUUCUGGCUUGGGCUCUGGCUUGGGCUCUGGGAAUGGCUUGUGCUCAUCAAGUGGGGUUGGUGGCUUGGGUUUUGUGGGUGGCUCCGGCUUCUUUCCCUGAGGAGGCAAUUUCCCAUCCAAUGGCUCCUCUAGCAAACGAGUUCUGGUUUCUUGUAUGUGAUGAGGCGGCUUCUCACCCUUUGGAGGCUGAUCAACUGGCUUUGGUUCUGGCUUGGGCUCGGGCUUGGGCUCUGGCUUGGGCUCUGGGAAUGGCUUGUGCUCAUCAAGUGGGGUUGGUGGCUUGGGUUUUGUGGGUGGCUUCGGCUUCUUUCCCUGAGGAGGCAAUUUCCCAUCCAAUGGCUCCUCUAGCAAACGAGUUCUGGUUUCUUGUUUGUGAUGAGGCGGCUUCUCACCCUUUGGAGGCUCGUCGUUGCCCGGGUUUCCUUUGUGCUCUGGUGGUGGCUUCUCUCCUUUUCUUGGUGGCUCAUCUCUUGGGUGUCCUGGUUCAUGCUCAGGUGGUGGUUUCUCUCCUUUUCUCGGUGGCUCAUCUCCCGGGUGCUCAGGUGGUGGCUUCUCAUCCUUGUGAGGCUCAUCACCUGGUUUCUCCUUUGGUGGUGGCUUUUGUCCCUUAGGAGGCUCAUUGUUCUCUGGUGGAGGCUUUUUUCCCUUUGGAGGCUCAUUGUUCUCUGGUGGAGGCUUCUUUCCCUUUGGAGGCUGGUCAUUGCGCUCUGGUGGUGGCUUUUGUACCUGGGGAGGCUGGUCAUUGCGCUCUGGAGGUGGCUUUUCUCCCUUGGGAAAUUGGCCCUCCACCUCUAACAAAUGGUGUUCGUUGUGGGGUGGCUUGUCAACUGGUGGAGGCUUGUAAAUUGGGGGUACGGAAAUUGGAGGCUUGUAGAUUUGUGGCUUUGGGUCAUGGUUAUCAGCAAGAGAAGGAGUU